rnacentral:lncRNA from 1 species
UUUUUUUUUAUUGUCUCAUCAAACUUCAAGUACCACUGCCUGCAGGCUUGUUUUAAUCCAUAAAUGGAUUUCUUCAAACGACAUCCCAUAUGUUAUUUUCCUUCCAUGACAAAACCUUUGGGUUGUGCCAUGUAAACAUAAUCUUCCAGGUCUCCAUUGAGAAAAGUCAUCUUUACAUCCAUCUGAUGUAACUCUAAAUCAUAGUGUGCCACUAAAGCCAUUAUGAUUAUAAAAGAAUCCUUACAUGAGACUGGAGAAAAUAUCUCAUUAUAGUCUAUUCCUUCUCUUUGUUUGAAGCCUUUGCUACAAGUCGUGCUUUAUAUCUUUCGACAUUCCCUUUGGAGUCACAUUUUAUUUUGUAGACCCAUCUAUAGCCUACUGUCUUGGCUCCUUGAAGAGGCGUUCCACUGAGGUUUCCAUUGUGUCUUAGAAUUGUUCUGAUAAUUACUCUUCUUGUUUUGGCUUAGGUAAUUGAUAGUAUCACCAGAUGAGCCCUUAAGCCUAUCUUCUUCUUGCACACAUAUGGCAAUCAUCUUCUCAAUACCCACUUUUCUAACUGUGUGUUGUAAUUCACGGCAAAAGUCUCAAAUUCUUUGGGUAAUGAGGAUCAGAUGGACUAUAAAUGCUUCAGGGAGCUCCAUGUCCCAGACUUAAGCUUGGAAGCCAUAUUGCUCAUCCUCAAUAUAUGAUCCCUUAUUCCACCGCCAGUGUACUUCAUAGUAAUAAGCUUUAUGAUAAGAGUGCUUGCAUAUGCCUUUGAAGAGCCAGUAAACUGACUCUCCACCUUUGUCAGGUACUCCCUGACGGUGUCACACUCUAGGAUUGCUCCCCUUAUUGCCUCCAAAAUGGAGUUCUUGAUCACCAUCAUGCACUUUCUGUUCGAUGAGUCCCACUUCGCACGAUCAAGAUCGUACAACAUUCUGAUUGGUGCAUGAUCACGCACCCUAGCAUUGAAAGCAUCUUCGCUCUCAUUCUCGGCCCUCACGGGGUCCUUAGGUUCUAUGGGACAAGGAGCAGUCAGUGCUAGAUCAAUAACGAACAGCGCAAGCACUAUCUCGACCUUCUCUCACCAUAGGCUGUAAUUCCCUGCAUCGAGGGGCUCUAGGGACGAGCACAGCCGAGCAGGCGAGUUCUCACUAGACAGGCUCAUCACGUUUCCUCGAAAAAAACAGACUCAUUACGUAUGCAUACUGACACAUUCACCCCAUCUCAUGGAUGAAAGAAUUACGUGUCGAUGAGUUUGAAAAAUCAAGCUAACCAUAUCAAUGAUUAUUACAUCGUGCAUUUCAAUUGGAUCGGACUCCGUCCCGGCUCUAACUGGUUGGUUCAUAAUAAUAAUAAGAAAAUAAGACUAGCAACGCCUUCCUCUUAUCCACGCACUCACACAGCCCAGCUUAUCAGUUCCCAAGAACCAUAAACAAAUCCACAAGAUGGCUGGGGUGACGCCCACGAGGAAGUCGUCGAGGUGCACGCGCUAGGGUAUCCUUUUGCCUCAGUAUGCAAUCUGAAUACAAGGAUUCGAACGAAGAAUUGCUAACCUUGCUGCCAGCAUCUAGCCACUUUCUUGGAAAGCACACGAGAUUGCCAUAGCAGGAACUAGCUGAUUAGCACCAACGGCACAGUGCUCGUGACGUAAUCGCCUCUCGAGCCAACUUGUAAGUUACAACAGUCUUGGUAUGAUAAAAAGCACAGCGACAGCACCAAAAGGUCUGUUGGAUACUAGCUAGAUGAGCAUAACAAGGUCCAUGAGAGCCUUGAACCAACUUGUAAGUUACAAGAGUCGAAGUCACAUAUAUAAAUAACCCAACAAUAACACAAGUCUACCUUGCAUAUAUAUCCUAGACAGGUCUGUCAAAUACUAGUAAGAUAUAAACAGCACGGCAACUGCACCAAAAGUUUGUUAGAUACUAGCUAGAUGAGCAGAACAAGGUCAAUUAGAUACUCCAGCAGUGUGAUGUCUACUGAAGACGCCGCCCAAUAUGCUUGCCGCCUAGAUGAUCACGAAUGUUCACAUCAAGUGAGCCAUGAUACCAAUAUGGCUCAGGCACUGGCCACCUAUCAUCCAAUAUGUUUUUGUCCCAAUGUAAGUUGGUUGCUGAAUAAAACAGUCUAAGCAGACAGAAACAAGUGGCAAUGCGAAACAGAAAGAAAUACCUGUUUUUCUGUAUCCCAUUCUUUGUCCCACCACCAACAUUGACAGGUAUAGGAUGGUUAUAUCCACUGUCAUCAAACAUAAUUUUUUUUCAGUCAACGUUCAUAAAAUAAGUGCCAUGCCUACCAGUUAGCAUUGAGAUGAAAAUAAUACCAUUCUGAUGGUAAAGAAUUCACUCCACUUAGAACUUCAACAAUCUUGUGCCUUGGUAAGAAAGGAGUUACACCGCUUCCAUCGUAGAAGUUCAUGCCAACAAAACUCCCAUUAAGAUUAAUAAGCGGGCCUCCAAUCCCAGCCUAGUUUUUUUUUAAAAAAGGAAAAAGGCCCAAGGUUACUGGAAAACUUGUAAUUCCUGAUAAGUUCAGUAGAUGCAAUAUGAUUAAACUGGUUACCAUAUAAAAGAACAGUAAGAGAGACUGACGACAGUACCUUCUUGAUUUUACAAGUAGACACCUGAACAUCUUUGCAAUCAAGUUUGCAACCCCUGUUUCCACGCUUCGCUUCACCACUUGCGGCCAUUAAUAUACCAAAUUUAGCAUCACGCCCUAUAGCUACAACCUUUUUAGAUGAGUUUUGUGCACUUUCAAUGAAGAUGUCGUCCGGACGAAUAGCACUGAAAUUCUUCUUGAGACUGACAAUAGCAAUGUUAUAGUCUAAAUUAUAAAAUUCCAAUGUCCCACCAGCACGUUGAUUCGGUGGGAGAAACACCUCAAUCUGCAAUGAGAAAGCUCAGCAAACCAUCAUUAAACUUAAAAGACCAAAAGUAAUGAUAAGGACUAAGGAGCACCGACCGUCAAGCUAUUAUCAAUGCUAUCCUCAUUACAACGACCUCUAACCAAACUGGCUGAAGUCAGGAUGACAGUGUGCUUAGCUUUGCUUCCAUGCCACUUUAUAAGCAAGCCUGUGCAUGCAAAAGAUCUCACAUACCCUACACAUUAUAAGUUUACUCAUUAGUUAGUGAAGAUAAAAUACUAGCACAGAAAAGUAAGGAGCACAUAGCUGGAAAAAUCACCAUUGAAUGAAGCAAGUGAGACAACACGACGGGAUACAUCUGUCACAAUUUCUUUCGGAAGUUGAUUCCAGACACGCUCCCCAGAGCCACGGGGUGUUUGAUGAUAGGGAUACCCUUUCCAAGGAAGUAAUUCACCAAAGCAUUCUUCAAAAUGAUUAAGCAAUUGCCCAUUGACUAGUUAAAGAACGAAGAUCAGAAGUGAACUACAAAAAAGCAAAAGGGAGAUGACAGCAAUAUCAAAAGCAACACUUACAUUCGAGCACAAGAGGUGGUGGAAUGGGAUAACCACAGGACUUUAACCUGCAAAUAGUUUGCAUAAACCCUGAUGCAAUAUUGAGAUCAUUAUUAGUCCUCAGAUGAUAUGUGUGAUACUGGUAACAUAGUAUUCUGCGCACAAUGAUACAUAGGCAACAUUUUAGAAGAUGACUUGCAGUAUUGUUCACACCUGAAGGAACUACGCUUGAUACAUGUUUAGGCAACGUAUAUCCACGGAAGUGUAGUUUUUUAGGACUGCAAUAAAACAUAGUUGACUUGUUAUGACAAAAAUAAAACACAGGAACUACACAGGGAAAAAAAAUCCAAUCAUACCAACACAUGAAUCUAAUCUUGUCUUGUGAAAGAAUUAAAGGUAUGAAAUAAUGACUUGGAAUCAGGCAUAAAUAUUCAACAAAAGAUGAGAGGAUUGAGCAUAUUCAUGUCACAAAUACAAGUUGCAUUGUCCAUAUUGCCACAAAGAAUUGUUUAAUUCUUCCUAAUUUAGACCAAAACAUUAAGCAGGGGCACUAAGUUAGCAUCAUAAGAUCUGGCAAUGGAACUGGUUUCAGUAGAGAGGGGGUAAGAAGAACCAAAUUAUUUUCAAACCAAAGGUUACCAUGUGAAAACUCCUAAGUCUCCAAUGCUGCUAGUAAAAAUGGCUUACCUUAAACAGGAAGUGGAUUAGGAGAGAGGGUUUGGAACAAAUAUGAAUCAGGUUAACUGAAGAAAUAGUUCAUAAAUACUAUAAGUGUAGAAGACAUACUUGAUUAUCUGAAAAUGCUUCAAGCGUUUGCAAAGUAAGUCCAUUGAUAGGAAUGUGCAUCUCAAAUUUGCAUCACCAGGGUCACAAAUAUCUAAGUUUAUCCCAAGAAUUUUAUUAUCGCACCCCAGAAGUGGCCCUCCAAGUACAGCCUAGAACAAAAGGCAAAGUGGUAGGUUUGGAAAAGAUUUACUUCAAUGCACACGGUGAUCCUUUAGACCAGCAAUAACAUAAGGCAAUUACGUGUUCCAUGUUUUCCAUCAUGCCACAAAGUUAUAAAUAAAUAAAUCGACAGUAUACCUUAGAGAUAUCUUGACUAUCAGAACCCCAGGUGUUGAGGUGGUCCAGGUUUUGAAGGUGGCGUUUCUCAUACAGAGAUCCACGCAUGGCCAUCAAACUGCCAGAGUUGAAGGCACGCCCAGCAGCUUGCACACUAUCACCAGGUGAAGGUGUUGCCAUAAGAUCCAGAUCUAUAGGACGGACUCCUAGGAAGCCAUAGCAUGUGACGAUAGCAAUGUCUUUAUCAUAUAGUCCUAAGAACCCAUCGGUAGUUCUAUUAUUAGGAAGGCGCACUGCAACCUACAGAAAUAAAAGCAGCACACAAGCACAAGCUCAGAAUGUUCACAGUUAGCUUGAAUAUACAAAGAAAAAUCAAGGAACACAAUGAUUAGCAGCACCAACCCUCAACUUAUCAUCUUUAUUUCUAUUCUCGUUGAAUUGUCUAACCAAAUGUGCUGAUGUCACAAAUGUUGUUAGGCUUUCUCUAGUUCUUCCGUGAGGUAAAGGUAUGCCCGAGCAUGCAAAUAACAUCUUAUCUCCUGGACAAUAUCAUGAUUUAAAUGUCAAGUGGUGAUUAAAUGCAAUUUAGGAAAAUUGCAAAGUAUAGUAGCACAAUCACCAUCAAACAAAGCGAGCGAGACGACCAAGGAAGACAAAUCCACAACAUAAUUAGUACUGAUUGGAUAAGUUAUUUGACCAGGUUUGACUAUUUCACCAAAUGACUUCUCCUCAAAAGCAAUGUUUGAAACUUCUCUAUCACGAAAAGGUUCACCGAAUCGUUGCACAGCAAUAGCACGUUGAUUCUCCUCAAAUUUACGAAAUGCCUCAUGAGCCUUUCGAUCUGAUUAAUAAAUAUGAUACACCACAACUGAGUGAGUGCUUUGCUAGAGCAAUAUGGGCCACAAAAGAAAGAACCAGCAAAUUCAAAUCAACUACUCACAUUCGAACCUCUCUUUUUUCAUGCGCUUCCAGGCUCUCUUGUCAGAACAAGAUUUUGGGUACUUAAUCCCACUUGAAACUAGUGACGACUCCAGUUUGUUCCUUCUGUUUAUGGCUCUCUGCUCCCUGCUCACACCUUUUGUGUAAUCAGUAGUCCCCCCCUUGUUCCGCAGGGUCUUUGCAGUCCUGAAGCAGAAAAAAAAAUGCAAAUGCUUAGUACAGUAACUAAGACCCUUCUGUAAGCUUAUAAUACCCCCCCCCCCCUCCCAAAAAAAAAUGGAAAUCAAAACAAUGAAGCACCUUGUCAACCUUAAGGUAUUAGGUUCAUUGAUAAUACUAUCAACAAUAACACAAUGGCGAAGCAUGUGCUCAAAAUCAGUACUAGAUUGACCUGAUUCGUUGCAUAUAAAUGUAAAAAGGCUCAAAUCUAUCCAAAACUUGGUGUUGUAUGGCAAAUUGGCAAUGAAGAAGUGACAACACAGGUAGCAAGUUCCUAGCAGCCAGCUAAGAUUGACAGAAAGGGCACAGCACCAAAAAAAAAAUCUAAACAUAACAGAAAGCAACCAAACCAAUAUGAAGUGGGCAAGUCUAAACAAAGUUAUUUAACUGGCCACAUUCAUACAUGGUUAGAAAGAAGAGAAUUCGGAAUUUUGCUGUAGGAAAAAGCUGUAACGUAUGUAGGUGGAUGUUAGCUUAAAGUUAAGCUACAGAUCGUAACAAGCCCCAUCCAAAAUCUGUGAUGUCUGAAUUUCCCUAUAGAAAAAAAAAACAGAACAUAUGCAUGGUUGUUAGCUUAAAGGUUAUUUUAGAAAAUAUAAACCGCAACCAAAAAUCUCUGAUGGUUCUGAGAUGUGAGGGAGUAUGAUGGAUAAACAUUACUCGUAGACAACAUGUACAUGUGAUUUUAAUUAGGCCAACACAUCGUACAAGCAACAAUCCAAGCAUAACCAACUCAGGUUGGAUGUAGAGUAUAACUCAACUGGAACAGAUCCGUGAGCAAUUGCAACUAUAACAGUGAGCAAAUGAGUAAACAGACGCUUACAUCGCGCAACUUCCCCUCGAUGAAUCACUAGCUAGUCGUAAGACGCGUCCCCGACCACCCCGCAGGCCGGAGUCGCCGUCAACCGUGACGCCGCCGACGUACGCCCGCAAGACUAGCUUGUCGCUGCCACCGGACUGCGAGAUGUCGAGAUGUAGGGUUUUGUGUUUGUGCGGCGCCCCGGCGCAGGUGCGGCCGCGAGUGGGCAGUCGGGGAACGCUCCGCUAGGGUUAGGAGGUCCUGGAACCAGUUCCUCUAGCAUAUAACGAUAGACAGCAGAGGGACGGUACCUACGGCCGAUGACGUCCGUUGGGCAUGCAACGGCACGCCGAAACAAACACGGAAGCCGUCCAAUUCUUGCGUUGGCCCAUAGAAUCGAUGCGGCCCAUAUUCAGGAAGCGCAAAAGGGAAAGGAUACAGAGUGCUCCGGGCACUCGCCGCCGCCGCCGCGCCCGUGAUGGCCAUCGGCCAGCUGUUGCUGCUCGCGACCUCCCCCGGCGCUGGAGCAGGCAAGCAGGUGCCCGUGCAAGUUCUCUCCUCCAUCGCCCUCAUCCUCCGCAAAGGAACCGAGUGCUCCAGGCACUCGCCGCCGCUACAGUGCCCGUGAAGAUGGCCGCCGGCCUGCUGCUGCUGCUCGCGGCCUCCCUCGGCACUAGAGCAGGCAAGCAGGUCUAUCUUUGCGUCAGCGACGGCUGCUUCAUGGUUCAUGCUUCGACGGGCCACGGGAGGAUGAGGGCUGCUGAUUGCUGCUGCAAAGCCUACAGCCCCUACAGGACGAUGGCCAUUGGACAUUGGCUUUCAGAUAAAGUUUACAACAGCACCUUGAGAAGCCCAACUCCAAAGUUCAGACUAGCAGCAGACUAGUAGUGUUGAAUUGCCAUUGUGUAACUGAUGUGAGUUGAGAUUGUGGCUCAACUUCCUUUGUGAUGAUUGAAUAAUUCUUGCCAAUUUGAGAUACUUCAGUGCUGCUGUUAUGAUUGUUUCGAUUUGAGAACUUUGAUUGGCAGAAUAUGUACCAACGCUACUAGAAUGCUCAUUUGCAACACGGCAAAAGAAAGCUAAGGGAUUUUUGUAUGCCCAUGUAUUGACCUCAAUCAUGUGUCAUCUACGUCGUCUCCACGUGUACACUUUCUUGUCAACGUCGCCAAGUGUUAUCCACCCACGGUCAGUCCUUCGGCCCUCGGUCCCUCGAUCCGAGGUCAUUGCCAUCGACCAUCUUAGUGUUCCACACCUACACACCACAAGAUAAGAGACAUGUUGCACAACACCAUACUCACCUAUGGUUAGUCUCAAAUACUAAACCAAAGCUUGAUCAUCUCCUGACAAUUACUCAUCACCAACACACACAUGGGCACAUACCCACCAUGUGUUCGCACUAGUAGAUGCCGGCUAUGCAUGUCAACCUAGAUUCCUCUCUCCUUACAGGGCACUAGGUACCAUUUUAGAGAGUAUGGUGGUAGAAACUAUCCAACUGAUCCGAGAGAGUUAUUCAACUUGAGGCAUUCCAGCUUGAGGGUGACCAUGCAUGGAGAGGGUAUUUGGGGCUCUACAUUAUUGACAGCGAACCAUUCCAUCCCUUCAAGACACAAGUGAAAUUGGUCCUUACUUGUUGCACCUUACAUAAUCAGAUACUUGAACAUGGCAUAGAUGUAGUUCCUCUUGAAACUUCUUAGGUGCCCAACAACAAUGUACCACAUGGCCAUGGGGUUGCCGAUGAAGACAGCCUAGCUUGGGCAAUCCUUAAGGAUGAAAUGUCUAAUCAGAUGUGGGCCAAUAGGGGCCAGUCUCACAUAUAUUGAUGUGGUAAGGAGCUAGUGGUAUUCUUUAUAUCUAGUAACUAUUGAGGCUUUGCACAACCAUCUCUGAAUGAUUGUUGAAACAAUGUCAAUUUAGGGUUUGGCAAGUUUGCAGUGAUGACUAUAUGCUACUUAUACCUGAGGCUUUGGCAAGUUUCCAGUGAUGAUUACUUGCUGCUAUUUCCUUUAACUGAGGCUAUGGACAUAGAUUGCAUACUAAAGGUAAAACGACGUAGUUGUGCUCCUCCUAUGUGGCACUCCAGCUUACAAGGUAAAAUGAAUAUAAUUAGUGUAUCCUUCGGAUUGGUAGUCAAUGCACCAUGGAGCCCCUCUUCAUCUCUUAUAUAUUGCAGGAAAAUUGUUGAAAAACACUCAGACUCCACAACCUGAACAAAGCAGCGGAAUUAAUAAUAUUGAACAUACCAUUCCUAUAGUUAACAAGCCAAAAUUGACCUAUAUAUAGGAUCAAAACAACUACCUACCUGAACAAAGACAUGUCGUAACGACAAAAUACAGCACAUGAACCUUUACUGCUCUGCUAAUGAGUCCAUGAACAAUGGAACAUAAGGAAGAUAGUAAGGCAUGUCCAUAUGGAGAUGCCCUCUUGGUUUAUGAAAGCGGAUGACACGGGCAUGGAUGACAUGAACCUUUCUGCGGUCCAUGUCAUAUGCAAUUAGUGUUCUAUCCUCCCCAACAAAGAAAAUCAAAUUCCAUUCUGGGUGAACUGUAAUCACUCUGUAGUCCGCAUCACAAAGCUCAGAACCAACUUGAAUAUUGAUAUGUCCAAAUAGCCCCUCCGUGUUCAAAACAUGCUUCAAUCUCCAUUUAUUAGUACCUCCAUUUAUUAGUACUCAACACAAUCAAGCCAUAUACCAGUACCUGAGCUGCGAUGGCCACACCCACGUCUGAACGGGCAAAGGCCCGCCCUCCGGCGGAGCCCGUAGAGCUGGGCGGCCCCGACGAGCAAGACGGCCAGACCGCAGGAGGGAGGGCUCGCGGCGUGUUCUCGCCGCAGGACAUCCAGGCGGACGGAGGAGGAUCUUGCGAUGUGUCGGCGACGGGCGCUGAGGAGCAGGCGGGGUCUCAUGGCGCUGUGAGCAACGGGAGGCCGAGGAAGCUGGAAGGAGGGGACAGGGAGAAUGAUGCUGAAGCUGGUGUGGUGCGAGCUGACGAACAAGCGCGGAUUCUGGACCAUGUCUUCUCCAAAGGACGUCAACACCAGGUACAACAGCAACCUCACCUUUGUUCUUCCUCUUCCUGUAAAAGGUCGUGCACACAAGGUGUUCGGUCUUUUGUCGUUGCAAGUUUUGCAAAGGAAAAAGGGGACAGGGGCAUAGCUACUAAUCAAAGUAGACGGCGUUUAACGCUAGCACCAAGAUUAGCACCCGCAGAGCAACUUUGCAGCACGAAGAAGGUACAGUCAGUAUUGGCUAGGGAAAAUUUUGAAGAUUCAGAAGUUCUAAGGGAAAGAGGAGGAAUGGAAAAGGAGGAACAGAGUGAGAGAGAGAAGAAGCAAUUCAAAAAAUCGCAGGAUCCUUUGCAAGGUCUCCGAAGGAACGAGACUGGCUCUCGAUUCUGGGCCUUAGCAAAUGAGGACAGUUCUGACGAGGAGGAGGAAAGGGAGGAAGAAAGUGAUAAGAUGAAAAUGGAAAGUAUAGUGGCUGAGGAGAGAAGCUGUUCUUCCCUAGAGGAAAGAACAGAACUCUCUAGCAGUGGAUCUAGAGAAAAGGGAAUAAAAUUAGUUAAGAAGCAGGAAAGCAAAGAUAGAAGAAAGGGCAAAGACAAAAAACCUGGACAUAUGAUCAAACCAUGGAAAGGCCCUUUACCUCAGAGAAAUUACCCUUUGAAAAUGUCACUAGGUGACAUCAGGGUAAAAGAUCUGCGUGAGGUGGCCCAUCCAUUGAAUCAGAGAAGUCUAGAUAUUUUUUUGGAGGAAGAAUUAAAAGUUAUGUAUGAGGAUAACUACAUAGGGGAGGCUGAUUCAGUGAAGUUAAGGAUGAACACAUUGGAGAAGAAGUGCUCAUCAAAGAAGACGGAGUUUGAAUUCAAAUUCCAAAAAGUUCCAAAGAUUAAAUCAGGGAAAUCAAUAACUUGGGUGGGUAAAACUGGUUUCAUUCAUGUGGGACCACGUGCAGUUUUCCAAUGUACAAAUGGUUUAAGUCAGCUUCUUAAUAAUGGAGGGAAGCUCAAAAGGCAAGACAUUAAAUGUCUGCCCAAGAAUCAAGGGGGUGUUUGGGCUGCCUGGUGUAAAGGGGCGCCAGCCUCUGUGUUUAAUAGCAACUCAUCUGUGCAACAAGCACCCUUUGACAUUCUAACCACAGCUGUUGAGUGUCACAGAGAGAGAACAGAUUGUCAGGAGGAAGAGGAAGAAGGAAAAAUGUUGAGGAGAGGGUUUGGCACAAGAGGAAUAUCAGGAGCUAGGGGAGCACAUGACGGUCGGUUUAACCAGGACCGACUAGAAAUGGGCGCACAAAGAGGAGGCGUCUGGCACUUUGGAGGAAAUCAGAGAAGACAGAUGGAAGCCAGAGCAGGUGGCAGGGAAGGGGCAGGAGAUGGGUAUGGAAGAAGAUUUAUAUCAAGAGAUGGGUCAGGCAAUGAGAGGAAUAGGGAAGGGCAACAACAAGGUUUUGGGAGUCAGAGAGGUCUGCAGGGGCCAGGAGGAUCAAGGGUGGACGUGAGGGUGGAGUCCCUGAGAGGCAGAGGGGGAUGGCGUAGGUGGCAGGAGCGUCCACAAAGAGCAGAAGUGGUGAAGGAAGAGGAUAAAGGAAAGAAGGUGAUAACACGUGAUGGUGAACAGAAAGAGGGAUCGAGGGGGAAAGCUGGGAUGGAUUUCCAGAUGACAGUAGAUGGACUUGGAGAAGAAGAGAAAGGAGAUGACACCAAGUCAGGGAUCAAGUGCUCAAAAUGUGCAAAGAAAGGACAUGUGGCUGCCAUGUGCACUAAUCCAGUUUACUGUGUUAUCUGUAACGGUGAUGACCACGUCAAUCACAAAUGUUUGCUGCUAAAGCAGUCUAGGCCAGUGGCACACGCGGUGGGAUACGCUGUCCAUGGGCUUGGUUUCUACCACAUUCCACAUCCACCGCUGUCUAGGAGUAAAAAAGAAUCCAAGAAGGCCCUAAUUAGGAUGGGAGGAGGGAAACUAACCAAGGAGCAGGUGGUUUCACAACUGCAAAGGUUGUACCCAGGAAAGUGGAAUUGGGAACUGGAAGACAAUGAAGAUAACACCUUCAUCACUACAUUUCCCUCAAAAUCUGAACUUCAAAGGGCAAUAGCUUUUGGAGGGGCUGAUGUUAGAGAAGAUGGAGUUCAGACAGGUGUGAGGCUACAAUUUGAAACUUGGCAAGAGAAAGAAGAGGGAUUCCUUUUACCUAAAGUUUGGGUGAGAGUACACGGGCUGAGAAAAUCUCUAAGGGAGUAUAUGAAUUUGUGGGCAAUAGGUUCAUUGUUGGGAUCUACCCAAACCGUGGAUAUGGAGAUGACUAGAAAAAAUGAAUUUGGAAGAAUAUGUGUGGCAGCCCUUAACCCCUUGCUUAUCCCCUCACAUUUAGAUGUGGUGAUAGGGGAUCACUACUUUGAACUAGAAUUUGAGGUGGAAAGGAAGGGGACUGAUGAGAAUGGAGAGGAAGAAAAUUUUGAUUGGAAGGGAGAUGCAGAAGGAGAGGAUGAGGGAGAGGGCAGUGAGGAUGGCUUAUUGCAGGAUGACCCAGAUAUGAUCAGGGAUAUAAAAAGAAGGAAAAAUGAUAGUGAGGUCAAGGAGAAGGAAGAUAGCAGUACAAAAUAUAGGCAGGAGGAGCAGGGAUGGACAGAUAAAGAAUCAUGGAAAGAUAAAGUUCAGAAGAUGAGUGAAAUGGAGUUUAAUCUGUUUCUUAAGGAAAAGGCAGAAGAAAUAAUGGAUAGAGCAGUGGACAAAACUUUGGAGGUUUUGACAGAUCAGGUUAUGACUGACCAGAAUGAAAAUAAUGAGGGGAAGAGCAGCUGGGAGGAGGAAGAGGGAACAGAUGAACUGAAGAAGAGGGCUGCAAUUCCUGAGACAGUAAUGACGCCAACAAGGGUUAGUCCAAGGUUGGCUAACUCAGGAGAUGAGCAUAUUCUUGCUAAGACAGAGAAGAUGGCUGCUAGGAAAAAUCUGGAGCUCAAAGAAGGUAAUUAUGAAACUGAAGUCUCCUUUCAUUUUCCUUUAGAUAAUGUUAUCUGUAAUGUUAGUCAACUAGGGGUUAGGUUGGGAGAGAGUGAAAAAGAGAAGGAAAGGGUAGUACAAGAAAUUCUCACAGUACAAAAGAGAGACAUAGAUCUGCCUGUAGAGGUAGAUAAUCAAGAUGAGAGUAACCUGUACAGUGACAUGGAGGAGGAGAGGGAAGAAAUAGAAAGUAGUCAAAUUCAGAACCUUUGUGGGGAACUUUUGGAAGAGGUUUUUGACGAUGAUUUUAGUUACAUGGAUUUUUACUCUAAGAUGGGUAAUCACAAGUCUUGUGCUAAGUCACGAAAGAGAAAGACUUGUAAGGUCAGACUACCCAAAGUCAAUAUCGAUAUGGUUUCCAAAUGAGAGGAAUCUUCUGGAAUAGCAGAGGUCUUAGUGACUUGGCUAAAAAAAGAUUCCUUUUAGAAACAUCUAAAGAGCAGAACUUAGCUUUCAUUGCUCUUCUAGAAACAGGAAAAAGAGACUUUACCCAAGCCACUCUAAGUAAUUUGUGUGGGGGGAAAAACUUUAUCUGGCAUUGGACUGAACCACAUGGAAGAUCAGGGGGUAUCCUCCUAGGUGUGGAUCUAGAUGAGUUAGACGUUGGUAGUAUUGAUGAAGGAGACUUUUAUGUGAAGUUCAAAGUAAGGACAAGAAAAGAUAAUUACCAGUUUGUGUUGGUGGCUGUUUAUGGAGCAGCACAACCAGCUUUUAAAGAAGCUUUCUUGACCGAAAUGGUGCAGGCCUGUAGAAAAGAGAACCUUCCUAUUGUCCUUGGGGGAGAUUUUAACAUCAUAAGAAACCCAAGUGAAAAGAACAAUGAAAGGUACGAAGACAAAUGGCCCUUUCUUUUUAACGCUAUCAUAGAUAGCUUAAAUUUAAAGGAGAUACAUAUGUCAGGAAGAAAGUACACUUGGGCUAAUUCCUUAAAAAAUCCAACAUAUGAGAAAUUGGAUAGGGUGUUGGUUAGUACAGAGUGGGAAGAGAAAUUUCCUUUAGCUACGGUUGAUGCAUUGAGCAGGGAAAUCUCAGAUCAUACACCCUUAUUGCUUAGUACUGGAUAGGAAGGGGUGAGAAGGAGCCAACACAUGUUUAAAUUUGAACUAAGCUGGCUUUUGAGGAAAGAUUUCCUUGAGAUAGUAGCUGAUGUGUGGAGUAAGGAAAGAAAAGGUUCCAAUCCUAUGCAGAAAUGGCAAAAUAAGAUUAGGAGGUUAAGGCAAUUUCUGAGAGGAUGGGCUAAAAACCUAAACGGGAAGUAUAAAAAAGAAAAACAGGAGCUGCUUAAAAGGGCAAAUGAGCUAGAUAAAAAGGCUGAAUCACAGCUGCUAAGUCAGCAAGAAAGUAAUUUAAAGAAUUGCAUUCAAGAUAGACUAGUUCAGCUCCUGAGAGAAGAAGAAAUAAGAUGGUAUCAAAGGGCAAAAAGCAAUAAGCUACUGAAUGGAGAUAACAACACAAAAUAUUUUCAUAUGGUAGCCAAUGGCAAACACAGGAAAACAAGAAUUUUUAGACUGGAACAGGAUGAAAGCAUUAUAGAAGGGGAUGAUAAUCUUAAAAAUUACAUAACUAAAUAUUAUAAAGAACUAUUUGGAUCUCAAGCAAGGAACAUUUGUUCUAUGAACGAAUCCUUGACAGAGGAUAUCCCUCAAGUAUCAAGAGAAGAAAAUAAAAUCUUGACUGAAAGAUUCACAGAAAAGGAGGUCAGAGAAGCUAUCUUUCAAAUGAAGCAUAACAAAGCUCCGGGACCUGAUGGAUUCCCAGUGGAGUUUUACCAAGUAUUCUGGAGUCUCAUUAAAGAUGAUCUAAUGGCCAUGUUUGAAGACUUCCACAAAGGUAAUCUACCACUAUAUUGUUUAAACUUUGGGAUAAUAACUCUAAUCCCAAAACUCCAGGAAGUGAAAAUGAUCCAACAGUAUAGACCAAUAUGUAUGUUAAAUGUCAGUUUCAAAAUCUUCACAAAAGUGAUGGCCAAUAGGUUUUCUCUGGUGGCUGAAAAAGUCAUCAGGCCAUCACAGACUGCUUUUAUGCCUGGGAGGUACAUAAUGGAAGGGGUAGUAGUACUUCAUGAAACUAUACAUGAGUUAAGCAGGAAAAAGCAAGAUGGAAUCAUUCUCAAAUUGGACUUUGAGAAAGCCUAUGAUAAGGUUAAUUGGUCUUUUCUUCAACAGGCAUUAAGAAUGAAAGGCUUCUCCUCAAAAUGGUGUGAGUGGAUAGAAAGUAUAGUCAGUAAGGGAAGUGUGGGGGUAAAGGUAAAUGAUGAUAUUGGACAUUUCUUCCAGACAAAAAAAGGUCUUAGACAGGAUGAUCCAUUAUCGCCAAUGCUAUUUAAUAUAGCAGCAGACAUGUUGGCUGUUCUUAUUGCUAGAGCAAAACAUAGCAAACAAAUAAAGGGCCUAGUGCCACAUCUCGUAGAUGAAGGAUUAUCUAUCCUCCAGUACGCAGAUGACACAAUACUCUUCAUGGAAAAUGAUUUAGAGCAGGCAAGAAACUUGAAAUUGGUGCUAAGUACCUUUGAGAAACUUUCAGGCCUCAAAAUUAAUUUCCAUAAGAGUGAAUUGUAUUGUUUUGGGGAGGCAAAAAACCAAGUUAAGGUUUAUGUAGAGACAUUUGGGUGCAAGGAAGGAACACUACCAUUUAGAUAUCUUGGAAUUCCAAUGAUGCAUCGCAGAAUUGCAAAAAAGGAUUGGAAAAUGACUGAAGAAAGGUUCCAGAAAAAAUUAGCAAGCUGGAAGGGCAAAUUAAUGUCAGUGGGAGGCAGGUUAGUACUGAUAAAUUCUGUCCUCUCAAGUUUACCAAUAUUUAUGAUGUCCUUUUUUAGAAUACCUAAAGGUGUUCUUAAAAGAUUGGAUUAUUAUAGAUCUAGAUUCUUCUGGCAAAGUGAUGAACACAAAAAGAAAUUUAGGUUGGCCAAAUGGAGUAUCCUUUGUGCACCUAAGAAUGUAGGAGGUUUGGGUAUCUCCAAUCUGGAGGUUCUAAAUAGGUGCUUGCUAAGUAAGUGGUUAUUUAAACUUCUAAAUGAGGAGGGAGUAUGGCAAACUUUGCUUAGAAAGAAAUACUUGGUGAACAAGACUCUAACUCAAGUGACAAGGAAGAGGGGAGAUUCACACUUCUGGGCAGGCCUCAUGGAAAUAAAGGAUCAGUUCCUGUCAAUGGGAACAUUUGAGGUGCAUAAUGGAGAAAAAACUAGGUUCUGGGAAGACGUUUGGAUGGGAAAGACAACUUUGAGGGAAAGAUAUGCAUCCCUGUAUAACAUAGUGAGAAGGAAAGAUGACACCGUGGCCAAAGUAUGUGGAUCUGCCCCUCUAAAUGUUUCUUUCAGAAGAGCAUUAACAGGGCACAGAUUGGAAGAAUGGCUAAAAUUAGUGGCUGAUAUUAUAAGUCAUGGUACAGACAGGCAGGAAGACAGAUUUAUUUGGAAUAUAAAUAAAAACAAAGCUUUCUCAGUGAAAUCAAUGUACAGAGAAAUAGUGCAAGCUGAAAGAACACCAUCCAUGUGUGUUGCUUGGAAGUUAAAACUUCCAUUAAAAAUCAAGAUCUUUUUAUGGUAUUUAAAGAAAGGGGUGAUUUUAACAAAGGACAACCUCGCUAAAAGGAGAUGGCAGGGAAGUACCAAUUGUUGCUUCUGCAGAUCAAAAGAGACAGUGCAACAUCUCUUCUUUGAUUGUAAUCUUGCCAGAUUCACAUGGAGUACGGUUUUCUUUUCGUUUGGAAUUCAACCACCGACGAGUGUUCCUAAUAUGCUGGGGUCUUGGGCUAGAGGGUUUCCUCGGAAGAUUAGAAACCAGAUGAUUAUAGGAGCUGCUGCUCUUUGUUGGGCCAUAUGGUUGAACAGAAACGAUGUACUGUUCAAAGGCACGAUCACUAAUUCCUUCUUGCAGGUAAUCUUCAGAGGGACCUAUUGGACAAGAACAUGGGCGGUGCUAUCAAAGGAGGAAGAGAAAAAUGAAAUGAAGAACAACUGUAGCAGGCUCGAAGGCACUGCCUUGGAAUUCUUCUCCAAUAAGUAUGGCUGGAACUUCAGACGAAGAAUACUUCAGUAACAGGAUUUCAUCUAGGCACCGGAGAAGAUCUUAGAGUCCUAUCUAAUGCUUAGGAGUCGUGUUAGUGUUCCUGUCCUUGGAGUGAACUGUGUCUUCAAGGGUAGUACUGCUAGAACAGCCUAAGUGCUGAGUUUCUGUAUUUGUGGUGUUAGUUUGGCUGCAGGCAUCCACUCGUGGAUGACCGAGGCCGGAUUCUUUCCUUUAUCUAAAAAAAAAUCUCCAUUUAUUAGUACCAUAGUCUUCAAGUAUCGACACUAAAAGCUCAGACAUAUUAUGAAAAUCAGCACAACACAAACACAGGUGACCCUGAGCUUGAUGGAUGGACAUUUCAGCACCACAUGGUUUAUGAAUUGUCCUCCAUGUCUUUCCCUCCAUAUCCACAGCAACUAUCACAGAGUAGUCAAGCAUGUGCAUAAAACCAUUAAGGAAAACAGUUCUCGAUUUUGAACGUAGUACAAUACCCUCGCCCCAUUUAGAUUCCUCAAAUAUCCAUGCUGCAAUUUUAGAUGACUAGAUCUCCACACCUACGCACGCACACGCACCCUCCACCUCCACAAAUUCAAUCACAUGUAAGUGUGAGGACCUACGCACGCACGCACACGCACCCUCCACAAAUUCAAUCACAUGUAAGUGUGAGGACAUUGUCAGAUCGAACCCAAGUGAGCCUGACCAACAGAACGGAUGCUACGCGGCAGUGCAAGCCAUUUCUCGGUCAUCGGAUUGCAGACAACAUAGCGACGUAAUCCAUCAGGCCCAACACACCAGCAGAAGAUGAGGCUGCUGUAGCAAUAUGAGACCAGGACUUUAUCAAGGGGGAAGGGCAAGAAGGACAAGGAGGGCCGUUCAUCGGUGAUGCUAGUAAAGUGGCGAGUGCCGUUCCACCAACUGCCAUAGAAGAAGCCGGCGACAGUCUGGGAAAACUCCUUACGGUGGUAGGAGUCGGAGAUGACUCGCUUCCAGGAGCGACAGACACACUUGCAGCAGCACAAGGACCGGGCGGGGAGGCGACGAAGGAUGUCGACAAGCACAUCGUCUGUGAGGCUGCCCACUGCGUUUCUUUUGUUGGGGGCCUCCUUCAUCUAGAAGAGCCAGGACACCACCCGCCGAAGAGAUGAGGCCGCCCUACCGACGAAUUGCAUCAAUAAACAUUAGUAAGGAGAUGAUUUUUGAGGAGAACGGAUGGCGAUUGAAGUAAGGCAUUAUUACACUUGCCUUUGGAUCUGGCGGCGGUGAGCACGAGUGGCAACGCCGGUGACAGUGGCAGCUCGGUCGCCGGUGGAUCUGUGCUGGCAAGCCGGCGUUGUGCACCGGCGCGGAGCAAGAGCUGUCCCGCCGGUGAGUGGCGACUUGCACAGAGGUGACCAGGAGCGACGCUGAGGAAUAACGGCAAUGAGGAAAGGAUGAAAGGUAGGGGGAGGGGGGUUGCGGGCUCGUUGGUUGGCGAUGAACCGGUUCGUGUGCGAGCUGUGCAACAAGGGGUUCCAGCGGGAGCAGAACCUGCAGCUGCACCGGUGCGGGCACAACCUGCCAUGGAAGCUGAAGCAGAAGGACCAGCUGCAGGCGCAGCGCCGCCGGGUGUACCUAUGCCCGGAGCCGACGUGCGUGCACCACGAUCCGUCCAGAGCGCUGGUCGAACUCACCGGGAUCAAGAAGCACUACUGCCGCAAGCACGGCGAGAAGAAGUGGAAGUGCGACAAGUGCGACAAGCGCUACGCGCUGCAAUCAGACUGGAAGGCCCACUCCAAGGUCUGCGGCACCCGCGAGUACCGCUGCGACUGCGGCACUCUCUUCUCCCGGUCCGUUCUGAUUGAAGUGCCCUAUAUAUUACUCCCUCGACUGCUCGUGCCUACAGUUCCGUUGACUGACUAGUGGUUCGCCGUGCCGCCGUGCGCGCGCGCAGGAGGGACAGCUUCAUCACCCACCGCGCCUUCUGCGACACGCUCGCCCAGGAGAGCGCCAGGGGUGGUGUUAUUAGCCUCCAAGAGCUUGCUCUGCGUAGCUGCCCUGACAAGGCCUCGAGGCUUACCCUCGCCUCCGACCAGGGGCGGACCCAGGGCCCGGCGACCCUGGGCACCUGUCCAGGCUCUGGUGCAACAGUCACAAGGGUUAGCAGUCAAAAUCUACCGUUUAUCUGUUCUUUCAGAGAUGAGAAGAGCAGCAGUUGCCUUGUGAUUUGCCCGGACUCCAUUCAAGUCCCAGGUCCGCCACUGCCUCCGAAGCUGCUGACCAGCAACAGUUCAUGUAUCUUCAGAAGGCCGCGCAGAUGAACGCCACCUCAUCAAGCUCCUCAUUCAUCAACAAGCAAGAGAUCAUAGAAGUAGUUGAAGAAGAUAAGCAUAAGGAGACGAUAAGCAGAGUAGAUAAUAAUCAUGGAGCGAUCGUCAGUAGGGCAAGUGAAAAGCAUGAUAUCAUGGAGCUCAUUAUGUCACAUGGCCCCAGCAACAAGCGUUUCACCAUCAUCUGCAUCGUAGGUGCUCAAGGUCUCGGCAAGACGACUCUCGCUUCUCUUGUUUAUUGGGAUAACACUAUGUGCACAUCCUUUGAAGCCAGAUCAUGGAUGUGCUUAUCUGAUGUGUGCGAUUAUGAGGGAUUACUCAGAUCUGUCGUGGAAUCACUUACUGGUGUCUCAUGCAGGCUCAGCGAGAGAGAUGAGCUCGAGGAAUUAGUGAGAGAAGAACUUAUUGGGAAGAAAUUCUUGCUUGUCUUGGAUGAUUUGCAUGAGAGUAAUGCAGAGAUCUGCACACAUCUAACAACGCUGUUGAGAGGUUUCCAAGGCUCUUUUUACUCGAAGCAUAACUUGAGCAAAGAUGAAUUUGAAAUGCUGGAGACAAGCUGAUAAUGAUGGGGCAAUGCCUUUAAAGAUGUAGUCAUUCCUGACCAUCCAGAUGCAGAUGCACCAGGACAUAAUGAUAAUAAUCUCCAUGAAGAAAGGAACAUGCAGCUGUGCCUUGAAACUUUCCAGGACCACAUAUGGCUCAUGAUCUAGAUUGGCAAACAAACCAAUGUUAAUCCAGCACAGUUGUGCAAAAGGGCAUCCAAUCAACAAAUGAAAUAAAUCCUCCUCAACACCUUGUGUGCAUAACACACAAUCAUAAGAUGGUACAAAUAUAUUUUCCUCCUUAGAAUGUUUCUUGUAGAUAGCAUAUCUUUGAGAGCUAACCAAAAAAACACUCUAUGCUUAUUUUGGCAUCUAGACUUCCAAAACCAUCUGAAAACUGGAUGCACCUGACUGAAACCUAAAAGAUGCUUAUAUGCUAUUGAUGAGGAGAAGAAAAAGGAACCCCAGAUAUAAGUCCAUGUGUCAUAAUCUGUGUUAAGAACCAAAUUAUCCAAUGCUGCAGCCAACUGAAUUAACUGAUGGAAAGCUUGUGUUGACAAAGACAGAGUAAACAACUGUUGUAUAUCCACUAAAUGAGCAGCCUGCUGAAGUGAGAUGAAAGGUUUUUUGGUGUAAGAAUAUAACUGUGGAUAAUUCUGAGCUGGGAUGUGUUCUUCCCAAAUGUUCUCCCAAAAAGAACAGGUUCUUCCAUCAUUGACAUGUACCACUGAAAAAUCUUUAUAUUUGUUCAGAAGUUUCAACAAGUCUCGCCACCAGAAAGACCCUUUCUUGAUAUGAUUUGGGAUGCGACCAUGAGAAUAAUAUUUUUCCCAUACUAGAUGCACCCAUGGGAUAUCCAUCCUGUUGUAAAACUUAUGGCAAUACUUUAAAAGCAGAGCUUCAUUCUGUGUUCUAAUGUUCAAAAACACCCAGACCACCUUGCUUUUUAGGAACACAGACCAUUGUCCAAGCUGCCUUUGGUGGAGCUUUGUUAUUAAUAUCUGAACCUCUCCAUAAGCAGUGUUUUCGGUAUUUAUCAAUCUGCUUGUAUAUCGUUUUUGGUAUGAGAAAAGUACACAUAUGGAACAUUGGUAGGGCUGUGAUGACUAAAUUUGUAAGUUGCAACCUCCCUACCUGUGAUAAAAAAGAGGAAGUGACUAACAAUCUUCUCUCGCAUUUGGAAACCAGAGGAAGGAACUCCUCAACAGUAGGUUUUGUGGUACCCAAUGGCAAACCCAAGUAUGUAAAGGGAAGGCUCCCUCUAGAAUAGCCAAAAUGCUGUGAAAGCUGGAUAUGUCUUUCCUAUGAAAUGUUGAUGGGUACCAUCAUUGAUUUGGCAUAGUUUACUUUAAGACCUGUGGAUACAGAAAACCUCUGCACGAUAUCUUUGAGAGUCUGCAAUUGGUCUGGACAUGCUUCCAUAAUAAUCAAAGUAUCAUCAGCAUACUGUAAAAUGGGAAAAUCUUGACUGUGCAGUAAAGGUAUUGGCAGUGUCAGAGAGCCUUGAGUUUUGGCAUCAUUAAUCACAGUUUGCAAGAGAUCUGCUGCCAACACAAACAACAGAGGUGAGAGGGGAUCUCCCUGUCUGACUCCUCUUUUGCAGUGAAAAGUUUUCCCAGGUAGCAGGGCAGCAGAAGUACCUAAGGUAAAGAUUUACUUCAUCUAAGUCUGCCACGAUGAACCAAAACCUUUAUGCCUCAUAAUAUCCAGCAUAGCUGAGUGCUCUACUUUAUCAAAGGCCUUCUCAAAAUCCAUCUUAAGAAUGACUAUCUCUCUUCUAGAUCUGUGACACAAGUAUAAAUAUUCAAAAGCCCAUGCUAAGCAAUCUUGUAUAGUUCUAGUUUUGAUGAAACCAUAUUGGUUCUUAUGAAUAAGAUCCAUAAUAACUUUCUAUAAUCUAUUAGCCAAUAAUUUUGUCAAAAGCUUCAUAGAUAUGUUCAACAAUGAUAUGGGUCUAUAGUCAGCAACUUUGCAAGCUCCCUCCACCUUAGGCAAUAGAGUGAUGAAAGAACCAUUUAUGCUCUGUAAACAAACAUCUCCAGAAUGGAAAGCAUAGCAUAAGUCAUAAAAAUCCUGUCUAAGAAUUGGCCAGCACUUCUUAAUAAAGUCUGUGUUAAAUCCAUCAAGUCCAGGAGCUUUAUCUGAAGGUAAACCUUGAAUGGUAGCAUCAAUCUCAGCUUGUGUGAAUGGCUCCUCUAGACAAUGUAGAUUGGUUGCAGCUUGAAAUAGUUGAUCAAGAGGAAAAGACAUAAGAGAAGGUUCAGAAGUACCUAGUCGUUCUUUGUAAGCAUCCCAAAGGAUUUUUUUUCUUUAGUAAGAUGACUUGUCUGUUGUAUACCUUGAGAAUCUUCUAGAGCAGUGAUAAAAUUUCUCCUGUGUUUGAUAGUAGCAUUCGCAUGGAAAAACUUCAUCCCCUCAUCUACAAAUUUGACCCAUGUAAUAUUGCUCCUUUGUUUCCAAUAAAUCCUCUGCUGUUGGAGUGAAGCGAUCAGUUUUUCUGAUAAAAUGGCUUUGAAAUUCCAUUAUGGGACUGUAAGAUCUCGAAAUUCUUCUAGAAUUUCCAUGAAGGAAAGAACUAGCUUAAUAUUAGCAAUAUUAGAUUUUAGGCUAGAGAGAUGCUUCCAGAAGAUGUGUUUUUUAUACUGCUCAAUGUUUCCACAGGACUAUAUUUACAAUAAAGCGAAGUUACUAAGGCUUUGGAUGUCGCAAGGAUUCAUUGUACCAGAAAGAGAAAAGGAUGGACACGACGACUAGGAAGAUGCCUUCGAUGAGUUAUGGCGCAGAUCAUUCUUCGACCGUUGUCCCUCUAGUAAGCUCAAUGAACAAAGGUAUAUGAUGCAUGAGUUCUCUUCUCAUCUUGCAUCGUCAGCUUCUGGUAACAAAUUCUUCAGAGCACAUGAUCAUGAGUUACAUUGCAUACCACAAGAUGUUCAUCACUUAUCAAUUAUUCCCACACAAUUUGAUUCAGAAAUAUACUUCAGCUCUUUCACCGAAUUAAGAGAACUGAGGACGCUUUUACUUGUUUGUAAAUCUCAGUUGGAAUCUAUUGAUAGUCAGUUCCAUGUUAUGGAUGUUAAGGCCCUUGAUGAGUUCUUUCACAAUUUUAAAUGUUUGAAGACUUUGGAUUUGAGUCAAACAGAUCUAAGGGAACUUCCAGAAUCCAUUGGUUAUGUAACUUCAUUGUGCUUUCUUGGACUGAACAACACAAACCUCAGAGGACUUCCCAAUUCGGUAUGCAAACUUUUCAAUUUGCAAACUUUGGAGCUGCAAAAUUCAGCUUUUCUUGUGGAGCUGCCAAUUGAUAUCAAGAAUUUGACUAGCCUUUAUCAUCUUGAUGCUUCUAAAGAGCAUGGUACGAUUUAUGUACCUCCUGGAAUUGGGCAAUUAACAAAACUCCAGACUUUAACAACAUUUACUGUAGGAGGUGUUUCGUGGAAUUGCAAACUCUCUGAACUAGCACAUCUGAAUAGCCUGAAAGGGUGUCUUCACAUCCGAAGCCUGAAUAAUGUUGAAAAUGCGGAGGAUGCAAAGGGAGCUUGCCUAGCUACAAAGAAGCUUAAGAAACUAUCACUGGAGUGGUGCCCCAGUGGAGAAGAUGUUGAAAGCGACGACCGGAUAUAUGCUGCAGAACAUGUUCUUGAUGCACUCAAACCCCAUCUUUUCCUGGAAGAACUGAAUAUUAAAGGUUAUUACGGUCUAAAGUUCCCUAGCUGGAUCGCAGAUCAUACCCUGUCCGACCUAGUCUCCAUAACACUUGAUAAUUGCUAUAAUUGUGUGAAGCUCCCAACUCUCGGCACUCUUCCAGUUCUCAGAUGCCUGUUCAUUCAAAAUCUUAGAGGUGUUCAAGUGAUAACUUCUGAAUUUUGUGCCGCUGGCAUCAUCAUCAAUAGCAAGAACUUCCCGAAGCUAGAGACGCUGAAGCUGUGUGAUAUGUACAAUCUAGAGGGUUGGUAUGACAUGUUGAAUGGAGAUUUCCCUUCGCUCCGCAGGUUGUCGAUUGAGAGGUGCCCAAACUUAAACUCCAUUCCUCGUCUCCAAUUCGUAUCAGAAAUAUCAAUUAUGUCUUGCAGCAAGUUGAAAUUGCUGGGUUUGCAGUUUCUUCAGACCUUGAAAGUUGGUUACCUGAAAUAUCGGAAGUGCUUUUCCCUGCAAUUCGAACUGCCCUCACUUCUAAUGCUACAAUUUAUAUGUUGCGAACAUCUUUGUUCCCUGGAUGGCCUCAGCCGCCUGCCAUCACUAAAGCAUCUCAACUUUAGAAGCUGCCCCCCGGCUCAACUUCGUUAAGGAUGAGCCACUUCCUGGUGCACUUGAAACUGUCGAUGUUCACAGCAACUGCUACGCGCUCAGCACCUGGCGGCCAAAUGGAUUUGAGGAGUUACCUGAUGCUAGUGAGGUAUAUACUGAACUAUCCACAUCGCUUAUGUAAUUCACGCUCUCCGAGUCCUCAUGCCUAGACCUUGCUAUAGUUUUCUGGUUUUGGCUUUGUUUUCUGACUUCUAGUACUUGUUAUUCUUGAGUUAAGAAUUCAGACUUCACUGGAAUGGACUGUCAAAGCAAUGAUACAUAAUUCUGUCGCUAGCAUAAAUAGAUUUAUGUAUAUUUUCAGUAUAUGGAUGCCUUUCAUUGUUAUCCUUUCGGAAAUUUGUAGUGGCAUGGCAUUAGUCUGGUUGUGCUUUGGUUGGUGAACUAACAUUUUGUGUAUAGGUAUACCGGAAAUUCAUCAGGCAGAAGUGCAAGGAUAAAGGAAUUGAUGAUGAGAUGGCGCACGAGCCUUGAAGAGAUCCAUCCCUCUGCGCUGACAAUGAUGCGGGCGCUGCGCUUUCACGGUUGGUUAUCUGAACGGCUCAAGAAGGUGGCUGUGGAGGUGACAAUUAUGCAGACUGCAGAGCACGGGUCGACGCGUAUCCUGAACUAGCUUCUGUCGUGACUUUUGAUGCUGACUUCUCUGUGUUGCGUUCAGAAGCGCUCCGCCCUGUUCGUCCUGAUUACGAAAGGAAGCGGCCUUGUGCUUAGACCGCUGUCCUAAAGUAUCAGCUUGACUUUCACUAUCCUUUACGUGCAAUAUGCAACUCGAUGAUUUGUUUUUUUGGCAGAUAUAAUCAUCUCUGUUGAUGCGACGUCAUCUAAAACUGCCCAGCCUGAGCCAUUCAGCAGUAAUAUCUUUUUGUACUAGUACACUCACUAUGCAACGCCUAAAUCUAGCAAUGACUACGUCAUGUUGCCAUCCAUGCGUUCCAAUGAAUACAAGGGAAUCCGUCGAGCGCAUGUUAUGGUUCGUAGUUCCCCACUUCCCAGGGUGAGUAAUAAAUUGACAAGAAAUCCAUGAACCAGCUUUAGCCUCCAGAUUUCAUUCGAUUUGUCUAGCCUAAAUCACAUCGACUAUAAAAGGCACAUGAGUUCAUUAAGGUGUUCAAAUUUUAUUAGGCCCCAAUGGCAUUCCCUCGUAUCCAUUGAAACACAUGAAUGGCAACAUGAAGUAACUAAGCGUGAUCCACAUCUCAUCUUCAAAAGCUGUAAACCUCUGAUGAAUUUUACACUAUGAAUGUAUGUAUCAUCUAUCCUACAAGCUGAAUUUGGAAUAGUACAUUCUGUCUGUACGGUGGAGGCAUCUAAGUAUUGACACGAUCAAGCUAACUGCUGCGGAUGUUUGUUGAUUUCCUAAACUGUCGACCUUGAAGGAGAUAUCAAACAACUCCAAAUCAUGGUAGAAACUGUAGUCCGUGUGGUCAUUUUGUCUGUUCAUCUUGGAAUGCAACCAGUUCCGUCGUCAAUGGCUUGCCAACGAAGUUGCAGUACGUCAGUUCAACGAGACUGUGCUUCCAGUAGGAUGUUUGUUGCCACAUUGAUGUCAUUUCUAGCUCUCAUCAGUGCCUGUCUAGCGUCAUUGCCAUCAAAGCCCAUUGAGACCAGCAUAGCAACAGAGGACUCUGGAGGUUCCACGAUAGGUGCAAAUCCAGUUGAUGACUGAUUCUGCUUGAGAGAAAACUAAGUCAGUAAUGCACAACAUACUGAUCAACUAAACAACACCUGCCCAUUUGUUUUCUUCCAUGAAAAUGCUUAGCAAUUCAAACUUGACAAGAAUCUCAUGCCCCCCCCCCCCCCCUUCCAUCAAAUUCUCCCAAACCCCAUUUAAAUGCUGUUUCAAAGUGGCCAGCCAACCCCAUUUAAAUGGACGUUUAGCCAGAUAAUUGGCUAAACAAUGGGUGACCAACUGUUUAGCAUUUAGGUGAACACUGCACCUCAUAAUGCAAAAACGAUGGGUAGCAGAACAAGAAUAAUUGCACAACAAUGUCACAAGAUAAUCAAUAUGGGACCUAAAAACCCAAUAUAUCAGUUACCAAUAAUAUAAUCCCAGUCCAAUGAAUCAUAAAGGCAAACUUGCAUUUAUAACUAGGCAUUUAUAUGUAAUGGAUGAUCAUAUGUAUUCGAGAAAGAGAAAUGAUUAAUCUUUCAAUGACAGUAGUCAGUUAAAGAAUGCUUAAAUGCACUUCAUAAAAACAGGAAACUGUGUCAAAUGUAUGAAUAAUCACCACAAGAUUCUAGAAUGUUAAAUUAUAUCUGGAUUCUAGAUCCAAGGUCAAUGUGCGUAUAAAUUAACUACAAACUUCAGAAGCUAACCUGAACAGAACGGCCUGUUUGGGAUGGUGUGUUUCCGACAAGACUUCUGGAGGGACGAGAUGUACUUCCUGGUGAAGGGGCAAAGUAUCUUGCAAAGAAUGAUGAAAUAACCUGCGGGAUCUGUACAAGAAGCAGGAACUUCAGGAAAGAAAAUUCUAUGCAUCCACAACAAAAAUAGUAACUAGCAAGAACACAGCCCAUAGCAAAAACAGCAGUAAGAAAUUUCGAGCUUAGAUAAUAAUCUAAUGAAAAAAUUACUAUCCAUAAGACCCAUAGCUUAACCCUCAUAAGUUCAAAAGAACAGUGCUCCACUUAAACAUACCACUACCCUACAGUCUACAGUCUCCAUAGGAGAAACUCCUGCAGUUAGAGAGGUAAAUGGAUAAACAAUCUAUCAUUCAUUUACCUAAAUUACUUUCAGUUCAAGCAGCAAAACUGUUUUAACUCUGAUUUACUGAAAGCAGAUUAUUCAUCCUAGAAGAUAUGUAGUGCAUAUCAAAGAAUAUGUAGUCUUUGCACUUGGGGUAAAUGGUGAUUGCAACAAGAAAAAAGAAAUAAAAAACUAGGGAACAGGGGUAACAAAUAAAUAGGUAAACCACCAGUUCUCAAGAUGCAGAGUUAAUGAAAUACAAUUAUGUGGACACCUGACUAACUCACUGGCUGCGCAUAAUUCUUUUCUAUCCCUUAUGAGGGGUUAUAUGGUAUUUCCUUGAUAGGACCCAUGGAAGAGCAUGUAACAAGCAAGCUAGUAAUUAGUUUGGUUGGAUUCCAUAUCCAGUAAUUCACAAAUAUGAGAUGAUAAAUUAUUCUAGGCAUGACUAUAUAACAGGAGACUGAAUCAGAGAACAAUAUCAGCAGGUGAACUAUAUGUUAACAGCAAUCUGUCACAUUAAGCAAUAAUGUAGUACAACAAUGCAGAAGUACAAACUGGAGAAUAGAUCUGUAGUAACCUUCAUUUUGCGGAUGCCGAGCACAUUUAGGCGAUAUAGAGAGCCAGCAACCAGACCAAAUAUACCAGGAAUAAGGGAGCGCUUCCAAGAAGAUAAAAGAAGCUGCCAGGUGAAAUAGAAAAGAUGUGAUUUCUCAAUUGAAAAAAAAUGGAAAAGCAGAGAAAUCCAGUUAUGGUUUAUGACAAGAGACUGACCUGAAGACCAGCUAGGUAAAUGAAUGAUUUGUCGCUGAAAUUUACGCCGAAAAUACGGAAUCGUGAUGUGACCGGGAUAUCAAGAAAGAAUGGAACAAAUGAGGCAAAUAUGAGGCCAUAAGGUCCUGAUGCAAGAGUGCUGAUGUAGUUUGUAUCUGCAAGAAAAAAAGAGACAAAAAACAACUCAAAACUGGAAGAGAACGAAACAACAAGUGCAUGAGCACAUGAUUAUGCUAUCAACUGACAUAAGAUAAAUUUUGAAACACAGAAAGAAAAUAAGGCAUGGUAUUAAGCCACUAAUCAAAAAUAAAAUUUUAAAACAAGGAAACAAUGUGAAAUUAUCAGAAGGCAGAGCUUAUCUAACACAAUUAUUAGUUAGCUACUCUAAAACGGUGAAGAACAUUCAACCAAGAGUUCUAUCCUAGUUUCUAUAGAAUCAGGGAAGACAAUUUACCUAAGUCUUCUGGAAAAGCUGAAUUGAUGUCUUCUCUAGAUAAUACAGUUACACUUUCUCCAGAAAAAAAAAAACACAAAUGCCACGUUCCAAACUGCAGGAGCACUUUCAAUGCAGUAUCUUUGGAAAUAUUUUAGCUAUCUGAACUCAUUUUUGGAAUAUGAACCAAAAUACUUCUUUGGAAUUCAUAAAGAUUCCAUAUAGCUAGCUUGAGUCCACAUCAUACUGCAGCACAGCACAGUGAACCAAACAGCUUGCAAUUGUACCAAACGAUGCUUUGCAUUAAUGACAUAGUGACAUAUCGACUGAUAUCUUAUCAAAACUUGACGUAUACUAUAAUAUUUCCUUUUGCAAUUAAAAAUGGUCAUGUCCUGAUUAUCUAAUACUAAUUAUAACAAUGAUUGCAGAGAACAGGAAGGUCCUUUUUUAGAGUGAAUGGGAGUUAUUUAGGAAGUAAGCAGAACACAUAGCUGUCAACUGCACUAAAAGAUAUAUGAUUUCAAAUGACACCAAAUGACAUUAUGUAGUAUUUUGCCUCAUUUCUUCAAUAUGUACCUUUCAGGAUAACCAAUGACAGGAUCUCAAGAAGUGAUGACACUGUGAUAGUGAACAAGCAAAAAACCUGCACAGUAGAUGGAAAAAAAUGAACAUUAUAUCAUUAUUCUCUGAUUGUUAAGUACAUAACUAGCCUUAUUUCAGAAUUUUUUGCAAACUGAAACUGAUUUGGCAACAACACUGCAUUGCAUGUGUUAAGACUUAGGUAGCAAUAUGCACUUGAGAACUUACACAGCAUUGGACCAGUUUUCAAGUCCGCAGACCAGGAAGCUAAGUUCUCAAGUUCAACAUCAGAAGUGUAAGGCAUGCCAGUUAAUGGGACUACUGGUACAAUUUACUCCUUAUACCAUCUUAUUGGUGCUGUCUAUUCAUUUUCACCUAGACUAGAUAUAAUUACAAAAGGUAAAGUACCUACCGAGUAUUUGUUAGAGCCUAUCUGCCUCUCAAACACGCGGAAGUAAUACAGAAGGUACAGUCCAAACAUUAACUCCGGUGUUGAUUGAAAAGCAAAUACAGCUGGGAAUAUCUUCCAUAAACGGAAAUUCGUUAUAAUGUCCUGAAAUAAAUGAUAGAAAUAACUGAUUUCAGAUUUUAUCUCAGAACAAUAAAACUUCUUAUACACAAAGGAUCCAAGAUAGCAGCCAUUGAUUAGACAAGUAACAAAAACGAUACAGCCAACAUAUUGCAUUAAAGUAGAAUAGCAGAUGGAGCUCAAAGGACAAAUUUAUAAUUUGAUUGUUAAAAUUAAUUCCCCCAUCCUUCUCUCCCAAAAAGAAAAGAAUAUGAAACACAAGGCCAUGAAUAUGGCAAACUAAUGAAAUUUCAUGCCACUCCCAACUGAGAAUUAAGGUUAUUGUUUUCAUGGCAAAGCCAUGGCAUGAGAUAUGAAUUGUAGAUUUACUCAUUGACAGUUAAGAAUAAGUAGCAGAUCUAACCCCAAAUUUACACAGCAGUUUCACAUUGCCUGGGUAAUUCUAAGAUGCAAUUCAAGGCCCCCUGACCUCUGACACAUCGAUAUAAUGACCUACAUGCCACCUUCUUAUGAAUUAACUUCUGUAAUCACAAGUGUAUCCUAAAAUCAUACAGUGCACACGUAUGGUGCAAUAUAUCGAAGUGAGGGAUCACCUCUCAUGCAACGCUGUUACAUCUUCUCACAUACAUAGGCUUCUCACAUCUUCUGUGGCUGACCAUGGUAAUGGUAGUUAACUGAUAAUCAGGUCCACAAGCUUUAAGUGGUGUAAUUAGUGCAUUUUCAUCUAACUCUUAACAGGCCUAAGGUGCGCAAUAGCAGGAUAAACAGAUCCCUCGCUUUGACUUUAUGCUGAUAAAAGUUCACUGCCAAUUUCUGUAAACUAAUGUGUAAACCAUUUACCAACCAUGUUACCCGUCCAUUUGGGGAAAAAAGCAACCCCCAAACUCCUCCCAUUUGAGCUUAUUCCCCAACUCAGCUACAAAAUUGUCUUACCCAAGGUUACUAAAUCCGAAUUGAGCCAUCCAAAUUGUUUGUGUUCUAGAUCCUCCAUAUCAAUUCACUCUUGACACACAGCAUAAUUCAUGUCCUCCCACAAACACUGUCCUUACACAUCUGCUAAAGACCACCGAUAAUCAUCAGCCACUACUGUUACUUCAGCAACAAACCCAAUACAGAAACUCUAGUUACCAAUUUAAGCUGCAAAAGAUGAAACUUCACCUACCACCGUUUCCCCAACACAACAGAGGCACAGAGUAAACCUAGCAUCAAUCCGAAGUACCACGGGCACCACAUCAGCUACAACCCCGGCAAUUAGACACAAUAGACCGCCCACACAACCAAAUCAAAGAGUCGCCAUGUAGCGCUGACAGGUAGCCGCGUUUCGAUGAGUGCACAGAUUCGAGAAACCUAAGUGCGGGCGCAGCAGAGACGGCGAGAUUCAGCACACCUGGUAUGAGAUGCCGAGGGCGCGGGCCCGGCGCUGCACGCUGAAGACGACGGAGAGGAGGCCGCUGGCGACGACGACCGCCCGCGUCACCGGCGCAUUCUCUGCAACCAAAAGGGAAAAGACAACGGCACCCGCACCGUCUCGAUCAGGAAAAAAAAUCACAACCACGAGAUGCGAGAGACGCGAAAUUCCGGCGGUUUAAGGGGCGCGGUGGCGGCUUACGGAAUCCGGAGACGCCGCCCUGCAUCUUCCGACGGGGGCCGCCGGUCCGGUCGGGUAGGCGAGGUGGAAGCGAGGUCGGGAGGCGCCGCCGCUUCCCCCGCCCGUCCGAUCGGGUCGGUUCCUUCCGGUCGGGUAGCGGGGACGCGGGUGGGGCGCUGCGGUGGUUCCCGUGGGAGGCGGGCGGCGCGACGGAGUUCGGGAGGAGGAUGGGAGGACGGUCAGACGGGUGCGGUGAGACGGAAACGGAAGGGACCUGUUUGACGGUGGUGGUGGUUGGGCUGCGCAGCGGGUGCCUUUGUGAGUUGGACUCACCGCCGUGGAGUUCUGGGGCGACCUGCUACUGCUGGUCUCCUGCCCGCACAAAACUUUUGUUCAUCAGUUUUGGCCAAAAAAACAAAAAAACAGACUCGGCGCUUUUCUCCUCCCUUUUUAUUAUUUUUUCCUCUUUUUAGUUUUUUCGGCAAGUAUUAUACUGUUUUUCUAGAACAUUUAAAAAUGUUUAUUUUUUGAAAAAAUUGUUUGUAUAAUUUUUUGACAAAUUAUUACGUAGCUUUUUUAAAAGAAAUUUAUCUAGAAAAACCUCUCUGCUAAAAUUUAGAUAGGGGACCACGAAAUGCGUGAAAGUUUACGGUUGGGACAAAAUGGUGUAACCAAAAAAAGAUAAGAUUAACAAAACUAAGAGUGCUCCCAACAUGAACUAUUUUACAGAAGUUGAUCUCAUAGGACUUGGCUGCUACAGCAUCACUACUGUUGGCGCGGGUGGCCAAAGAAUUUCUUUUACCUAAACACAUGGGCGUUGGUCUAAUCUAAGGAUUGCUUGUCAAUAGAAUGAUUGGGAUAUGCUUCGUCUUUUUUAUUUAGGUUUUGCACAUCCCGCUACUUAGAGGCCAAGAGCAUUUCAAGAGUUUGUAUCCACUCAAUGUGAUACACUUGAAAAUAAAUAAAGCUUCCAUUAUAUAAAAAAAGAACGCCUCGACAUGCUAUUGCUUUUGUUUUUCUUAUUAAAAAAGAGGGGCUUAUUUUUUUUAUUUCUAUGAUGCCUGUACAAGAGUAUUGCCAAAAAGAGGUGAGCGUUUUUGUCGAAACGAUGAUUUUUUUGGUGAUUCUGGUUUUCAGUGCUCAUGUGGCCACUGAUGACUCUAGCAUGGUGCUAUUGGCAGGCCAUGAUCGCAAGCACACGAAUAGAGAAGCUGCCACAAAGUUCGGUAAUCAGUGAAUGAAUUUCACACGAACAAAUUUGAUAUUUUUGUUUGGGAAAACCGGAAAAGUCCAAUUUCCACCUCGAUUUUCAACCUUAGCAACAAACUGGACACUGGACUCCAUCCUACUGCUAUUGAAACUCCCUCGCUAUACGGUCGCGCGGUGCACGCUGCACGUGCUUUUGCGUAUUUAAACCCGCCCUAAUUCCUGGAUCUUUUUCGUGCUGCGCAUCAUCGUCACCCUGAAAACCAUUGUUGCAUGCGUCGACCUUGCCCAUUCGGUCACGUCAUGGAUCUCGCCGCCGCAACCGCCGCCUGCUUCUGCUUCCCCGACCAGACAUCCAACUGCUGUUCCAGUCAACAGCAGUUAAGGGAUCCGAAAGCAGACACCUCGAUUAAGCGACGCCUCGAUUAAGCCUCUUUUCGAUACCAGAUCUAAACUUUAACCAUGUCACAUCGGAUAUUCGGAUCCUAAUUAGGAGGACUAAACAUGAGCUAAUUACAAAACUAAUAGCAGAACCCCUAAACUAAAUCGCGAGAUGAAUCUAUUAAGCCUAAUUAAUUUAUUAUUAGCGAAUGGUUACUGUAGCAUAACAUUAUCAAAUCAUGAAAUAAUUGGGCUUAAUAGAUUCGUCUCGCGAUUUAACCUGAGGUUGUACAAUUAGUUUUAUAAUUAGUUUAUAUUUAAUACUGCUAAUUAGUGUCCAAACAUGAUAUGACGGGCUCCGUCUCCCAAACACCCCCUGAUAUACCACGCAUGGAUCGGAUCCAGAGUGAAUAAUGCGACAAAUUUAUACUCCAUCCGUUCCAAAUUGUAGGCGACAAAUUUAUACUCCAUUCGUUCCAAAUUGUAGGUCAUUUUAGAUUUUUUUUAAUUCAUAGAUACUAUUAAGUAUCUAUGAUAUAGUGUGUGUCUAAGUGCAUAAUAAUAUCUAUCAAUUUAGAAAAGUUAAAACGAUCUACAAUUUGGAACGGUGUCAAAAUCGGGUGACUACCAUUUCUCUACAAUUUCGUGUGAGCUCGUGAGGGUUCCAGAUUCUCGGUAGAAGGGGGGAAAAUGACCAUAAUUGGUAACUUAUGUAUGUCUGGAAUUGAUCGAUUCGAUCCUCACAGCUCACUGGACCUGCGACAACUUGUCCAUCGCGAUCAUGGCCUGCGCCAAAACACACACCAAUGGUUAGCGCAUUGGCACUCAAACCAGAAAAUGGAAACGAUGAAACAUCUGAAAAUUUGGCACCUCCUUCUCCCAGUCGCAGCGGACAGUUAUGACGGCCAGGAUGAGCGUCUGGACCGCGGUUCCGCCGAUCAUGCCUGCCCAGAUCCCCUGCACGUACACAAGAUUCGACCGGGAAAUGUUAGGUCCGGUCAUGAUCAAUGUGAGCAGCAGCAGGUGCCCGACACGGUUCAAACGGUACCAGCACGCCAAGAUGGAAGAGCCAUCCAAGGAGGAUGCCCAUGGGUAUGCCGAUGAUGUAAUAGCAGCCGAUGUUGAUGUAGGCCACCGUGGAUUGCCAUCCCGACCCAACAGCCACACCUGAGGUAUAACACCAUGUUUUGGUUAGGGAGCAAAAUCUGCUGUGAGCACAGCUUGGAACACACGAUUCUUAGUAAUCUUAAAAGAAAAUACAUGUUGUCCUUGCCCGGGAAAUUCCUUAGGAAUUUUGACUGAUUUUGAUGGAUUUCAAUCCUUUAUUUGUUCCAAAAGUUCUCAAUGGUUUCUAUAUAAAUAUAAAUUGAAUCCUCCGACAUUCCUAUGUUCCAAAGGAGGUCUAAGAUUUCUGCACCUUCUAUUUUUUUUUUUAAAUUUUCCUUUUCAGUUUCAUGCAUGAGUGCAACCACUUCUCUUGAAAUUCCUAUGUGGCACACAUAAUUUCAAUUUGGGCCGCCGUAGACUAGAGGGGAGCAGAGUUGCUUCUCACUCACCUGAGAGGACAGGCUGUAUGCUGUUGAGGAGUAUGGUGAAGGCCAGCAGGAGCGAGAGCUUAUUGACGGCAUCCAGUACGACAGCACUGGUGGUGAAGAUGAGGGCGAUCUUGUCGUGGAGGCCCAUGAUCAACACCCAGAAGAAGAGCCCGAUCACCAGCGAGGUCGUGGAUGAUACAGUGGCCGCGAACUUGGCACCCUUCCCGUUGCCUGCACCGAGCUCAUUGGCCACACGAACUCUGCAACAAAUGACCAAUGUUAACCCAAAAUUAGCAUUUCUACAAGUCUAUAAACUCCAUUAUUAAACCGCUUCAGUUUGGUAUUUUUCUAGUUAAUAGAAGGCAUAUGUGCUUCAAUUUGCUACUUCAAUUGAAAAAAGAAGUACUUAAAUUCACUAGUCCAUUAGGCUGUAGGGUUGUUCUUUAUGUACUUCCUCCAUUCCAAUUCGUAGGUCGUUUUAGCUUUUUUAAGUUCAUAAAUAUUAUUAUGUAUUUAGAUGUAGUGUAUGUCUAGAUGCAUAAUAAUAUUUAUGAAUCUAGAAAAGUGCAAGUAUAAGGAGAAGGCUGCCCAGUGUGGCCUAUGGUGUGUGCACGCGGUAGUGUGCCUACAUAUGCGCUGCCCUUGUAAUAAAAGAAAUUACCCGGUUCCCGCGAAAAAUGCCAGUGGAAUCAUCAUCUCCCAUCCAUUAAUAUUCAUGCUGCAUAGAGGAAAAUUAACAAUCUAUGGUCAUUACCACAUUAUUAGCAAAAAAACACAUUAUUUAGGUGUAUACUCUUAGCAGUCAUGAAGCUCAAUUAGACGAAGAAAACUUACCAAAUGGAGAGGGCAUCCACCGCAACCGCUGCGUUCUUGAGGUUUCCGGUCAGCAGGAUCAGUAUCCUAUAGUACCAGUUCUCCAAGCUGCACACAUCGUACGUCCCAAAUAACUUCAUUAUUAGGAAAGCAUUGCAGGAUUACAACAGAAGAUGAUCAAACUAAACAAAAUACUGAAGUACUACACAUAACGUACCAGAGCAUGACACCAGAGGCAGCUGACAGCUUGACGAACUCCCCCAAUCCGGCGAACGCCUCCACCGUGAAGCCAUGCCAAGUCUCCGGGCAACCGCCGCACGUGACAUAGACGAAAAGCAUCACGGUGAUCGCCCACCACGAGAAGCCGAGCGUGAGCGCGACGCCGACGAGCCCGAACUGGAGCUUAGAGACGAAAAGCCAGCUGAUGAAGAGGUGGAUGCAGAGCGCCGCGGCGGCCGCGACGGCGUUGACGAGGUUCUUCCUCUGGCACUGCAAGAAUCGUUGCAGCGGGAAGAGGAAGGCAAGGGAGAAGUGCAGAGGGAUGAACCAUACGGAGACCUGCCCCGCCAUGGCCGACAGCUCCGGUGGCUGCCCCGUUAGCAGGAGGACGUCCUCGGCGAAGAAGUACAUCGGUGUCAGCAGCACGGCGCACACCAAGAGAACGAUCCAUGAACGCUGCAUGUACACCCCCAUCAUGUGGUACUUCUUCGCGCCGUACGCCUGGCCGCAGAGUGUCUCCAGCGCGCUCGCCAUGCCAAGCUGCACGUUCAUAUCACAUCAACACAACUUUUAACAAGUGAAAGAGCACAAAUGCACAAUACUGACAGACCAUGAGGCUUCGUAAGGUUACUCUCAGUGAGUAGUCUCAAGGUCAGUAAUAAUUGAAAUUGUUUUAAAAAAGAAUUCCGGGGAUUUAGCCCCAGUCCGUAUUCAAUUAGCAAAUCAGGACGCAAUUUAGCGUUUUCUUCAUGAAAACAGAGCUACUCUGUCUUUCUCACCACCACACCAGAAACACUCCUUUUUUUUUUGUGCAGGGACUGAAGGCCACACCCCGAACACAGCGCGUAGCUCAUGGCCAUUUAUUCUUACUCUUAACAUCUGCUGCAAAGCGACAGGAUAGGAUGGAGCCGAUCAGCAGAAUAGCAAUGCCUUGGCGUGCUGUGCUAUCCCAUACUGUUCUAUCUCUGAAUCUACGCUCUUGCCAGUCUAAAUCACAUUCCAAAUACGCACCAGAUUUGUAUCCAAACCAUCUGAACACUUACUAUGAUUCGGCAGCGAAGGAAGGUGACAAUAUAAGGAUGAAAGGAAGAAACAAAGCAAACGCAUCACGAACGCACCAUUAGACCAUAGUUGAAGCCGGCCAGGACGGUGCAGGCGAAGGAGACGGAGGCGAGCUCGAGGUCGCCGAGGUGUCCGGCGAAGGCCUGCAUGAUGACGUUGAGGCUGUAGGUGACGGUGCGGGUGAAGAUGGCCGGCCCCACGAUCUCCCACAGCUUCUUCGACUCCUCCCACACCCUCCUCCAUGGAUCACACCUCUCCUCUCGCUCUUGCUUCCCUGUGUCGCCGGACAGCAGCAGCGCCGCGGUGCAGUCCGCCUCUUCGUCCUGUCGUCUUCCGUGGCCCAUCGCUAGAUAAUCGAGCCAGGAUCUCUGUCCAAGCGCCACGUUUGGCUCUUGGCGAUACGUGUAUACUUAUUAGUUAUCAGAGGUCACAACAAGAGAAAACAUCGAGUAAGGUAUGCUCAGGGCACGCAAGUGGAUGAGGAGUGGUUAGACCUAAUCCGAUGUUUGAUAUGGUUUAGAAAAUAAUCGAGAGGGGUUAGAGAUCCCAGCUCCACGGGAAAAGGGAUAUAACUAUAUUAACUUAAUUAGUUUAUAUUUAAAUUAUAAUUAUUAAAAUGGAAUUCAAACAGGACCUUAAAGGAGAAGAAGAAAUCAAGGUCUUACAGAGGUUCUUAUUACAAGGUAACUAGUGGACUCACUCAUACUUAACAAGGAAACUAACAUAGAAAACGAAAAUAUACUUAUUCCCUUGGGUUAUAUCACAGAAGAUAACACUGUUACAGCAGCAGAUACGCUGUAAUCUGCUGCAUCGCAACGUUUAGUGCAUGUGACCAAGGUGUUUUUUUUAUCUGGGCACAUGGGCGGCAGUCUAGUUAUCAAAUUAAGUAUCAUUAGUGUGUUAGUUUCUUUGUAUUUCUUUUGUAAGGCUGUUUUUUUGCCAGCUCGAUGUAAGAACUUUGAAAUUAAUAAGAAAGUUCCAUUAAAAAAAAUCAUCAGUUGAGUUUCUCUUGAUGUCAGAUGGAAUGAAUCAGAAUCUUUUCUUCUUCCGUCGUUCUUAUUCCAAUUAUGUUUGAUUUUCGCAAAUCAAAUGAAGGAAGAAGCAUACGUUAUUACCGUGACAACCAAACAAAGAACAUUAACACUGUUACAGCAGCAAAUACAUCGUAAUCUGAUUCCCUUUCCAUUUGCACUACCGUUCUACAAACCAGCACCUCAGUUUAUAUAUGUAUAUCCUAAUCAGUUUCUCGUCCUGAAGUCACUUUGGAAUUUAGUUAUAUUGUUCUUUGCAAUUCACCAUAUGAUACAAGGAAACUAAAGAAAACGGGAGAGGUUGAAGCUUCCAUCAUCAAUCCAAUCAUUAACAAUAUAUAUAGGUUUAAACGGAAUUUCCGAAAAGUUUUCAAGAGGCAACCGAGCACUGUCUGGUGGCUGCAAUCGAAGUUCAAACACGCAUCUGGGCAAAGCCCUUUAUUAAUUGAUGCUGAGUGUUAGGUACUGAAUAUGUGCUCCAAUAUGGACUGGAGAAGCACUCAUGCACCAGACUAGACGCCCAAUAAUGUAGCUUUUAGAGAUGCUUCAACAGCCUUGAGGGAGAAGGCAGUUGGAGUUCCACAAGAGGCUAGACAUCAUGGAUGCUAGAUGCGUCGAUGGCGAUGGUGAUGGCGUCUCUACAGCUUGAGCACUACGAGGUGGUGGUCCAUACAGCUUGAGCACUAUGAGGUGGUGGUCCAUUGCCUGUGGCUUGAAGUACUCUAGCAUUGCGUAAUUUUACGCGGUUACUUUAGAUUAUCUUAGAUUAUCUUUUUAAUGAUAGAUCUCGAUAAUUUAGAUAUAGGUUUAUAAUUUAUUUUAAAUAUUUUUAUAAUAAUAGUGGUGGGUAACUUUUUAGAAAAUAUAAUAGACUAAUGACUAUGAUUAUUAGAGUUUACAUAAUUUAUGUUUUUAAUUUUUAUAAGAAUUUUUAGGAUUUAUCUUAAGAAGUGUGUCUCGUGAGAACUAAUGUGGAGUCUACAAUAGAAAAAAGUUAGGCCACAUUCUAUAAUUUUAAGCUACCUCUCAUUUGUUUAAUAUUCAAACACAAUACUUAUAUACAUAUAUAGUUAUUAUCUUCAUCCGAUUGUUGAUAGAUUUAGUUAGUAAUUACUCUAUAACUUUUUCAUCCACAUUUGUAGUAUUUAAAUUUUCACUUUGUAUAAUGUGCUUGAAUUUAAUUUGUUUAAUAAACCCUAAGUUUGAGCUAUAAUUUUAACACAGAAAUCUAUAUUCUCGUAUCUUCCUCUAUAUAUUUAUAAAUGGUCACACACAUCAUGCAUAUAUAACUUAAUUAUUAUAUCAUAUACCAAUAUACCAAUAGUGUAAGAAAUAGAUGAUUUAAAAUCAUAUAUCGGUGUAUAUUUUUAAUUAAGGUGAUUUCGAUUCGAAUGUAGGGUUACCUCAUGUUAUUUUUAAUAAUAUCAUAUGCGGGUAGUAUAGAUGUAAAUUUAGGGAUUAAUUUAAAUUGUUUUUGAAGUAUUAGUGGUGGGAAAUUUAGCUGCAAAUCUAGGGGGUAUUUUAAAUAUUGUUUAUAAUAGCAUAAGUGGGUAAUUUUGAUGAAGAUUAGGGGGUUACUUUAGUUUAGUUUAUUUUAUAUAAUGGCAGAGGUGGGUAAUUUGAAUAUAUAUUUAGGAGGUUACUUUAGACUAUUUUCAUAAUGGCAUAGGUGGGUAAUUUUUUAGAAAACAUAAUAGAUCCAAUGGUUGUAAUGAUUUGAGUCUACUAAUUGAUGGCCAGAUGUUUUGCUUUUUUUGAGAAUUUCUCUCUUUUUAUAAGGUGUCCACCUAGGAUCCUAGAUGGUUUCACCUGGAGACUUCAAAAGGAGUCUCAAAUUAGUAAUAGUAAGGCCCUGGAUCCACCAGCUAAAAUUUAGCUGGCUAAGUUUAGUUGCUAUGGAUCCAAACAGGAUUAAGCUAAAUGUAGCUGGCUAAAGAUUUGAAUCCUGCUUAGCAGCUAAAGUGAUAAAAGACCAAAUUGCCCAUCCACCUUCCUCGGGAAAAGUGUUUAAAGCGGGAGUGAGGGAUUGGAUAGACAUAUACCUUUUCAAUUACUAUUUAGCUAGAGGAUCCAAACACCCUUAGCUAAACUUUAGCUAGAUAAACUUUAGCCAGCCAAAAGAAAGCUUCUAAACUUUAGUUAGUUAAACUUUAGUUGGGUGGAUCCAAACAGGGCGUAGGAUGGGCGUAUCCCUGUGUAGUGCUCAACUGCAUUAUCUCGACGAGCUUGUUAUCUACUAGCAAGAACGACGCGCUCUGCCACGCUCGUAUAAGCAUCACGCUGGCGGCGGAGACGGCAGGCGUGGCGCGGCCACCUCGGCUCCGGCACCGAUGGCAGAGGAAGCAGGCGUGGCGCCAGCAGGUUGCCCCGGCUUCAUCAGCAGAGGAGGUAAGCACGGUGUGGCUAGGCUAGCUCUCGCGGCCAUCUCGGCCCUAGCCGUGGCGGUGGCGGAUGCGGCCGGCGCGACCCCGACGGAGCUAGCCAGCGGCCCCAAGCGGCACGGCAUGGCCGGCUGGCUUUCCCACGGCGGCAAGGCAGACCGGCCCUGACCCUAGCGGUGCGAGCGUGGUCGACCCCAACGGAGGCCUCCCGAGCGAUCCUGUCGACGUGGGCCCUGGCCGGCACGACCCAACAGAGCGAGCCGGCGUUCCCCAGCGGGGUGGGUGACUAGCUGGCUCCACCCUGGCGGUGGAUCCGGUGGCGCGGCGGCCCCGAACCCAACGGCACCGUCCCUGUCGGCGGAGGAAGGGAGGCAGGGAGGAGAGCGUGGCGUGGCCUGCCAACAGAGUGAGGGGGAGGGCAGUGCGUCCGCUAGUGGGGGUAGAGGGAGGGCAUCGCGUCUCGUAGGAGGAGGGAGCGGCGGCUCGCCGGCGAAGGAAGCGAGGGGAGGGUGGCAUGGCUUGUCGGAGGAGGCAGGAGGAGGGUCGCGCGGCUCGUCAGGGGAGGGAGGGGGCUCCGGCUGCAGCAGUGGGGACGGCUGGCACGGCCCCCACGACAGGGUAGCGCCUGCGGAGAUAUUUAACUAUUUGUCAUCCUUACGAAUGUCACCUCUUCAAAAGCUAUAUAUCUUUAAAAUGGCACCUACAUAUUUGCCAUCUCCGCGUAAAUGAAGCAACAAAAUUGCUAUCUUGGCAUNNNNNNNNNNNNNNNNNNNNNNNNNNNNNNNNNNNNNNNNNNNNNNNNNNNNNNNNNNNNNNNNNNNNNNNNNNNNNNNNNNNNNNNNNNNNNNNNNNNNAUGGAGGAGAGACGAGAGAGAUACACCAGUCCUGUGCCAGGAUCAUUCCCCCCAAGCUCUUGCCACGCACGCUGCACGCCACGGCGUUCCUGCUCUUUCACGGAAAACGAUCCUGCGUGCCAGUGGCAGGGUAAAACAAAAGCUUCAAACGGCCUCCUCUCGAGCAGGAUACAGGAUCCUUUGCAAUGCGUCCAAGUUCCGAGUUCAACACGGGGCGACAGAGAAAUGGAUACAGGACUAGCGGUGUAAAAACAGGCAGCAGAGGGGAGUACUACGGUCAGGCUCAGCCCGUCGGAGAGCUACCGGCCCACCCCAACCCCGGAGAGGACGCGGGCAGGCUGGACGCGAGGCUGCAUCUGGAGGUUGAAGAUGACUUGACAUAUGGGUCCCACGCGUCAGUGUCAAGAGAGAGGGAAAGGAACAGAUAACGUGAGCAAGUUGAGGGCAUCAUGGUCAUUUACCAUGCUCGAUCCACGCUGGCUUGAUGACCUGGCACGCCACGUAUGCAAGAAUGAUAAUUUUAUUGCUUCGUUCUAGAUGGCAAAUAUAUAGGUGCUAUUUUUAGGAUGGUUUUUGAAAAAAUGACAUCCGUAAAGGUGGUAAAUAGUUAAUAUCCGUGAAGGCACGCGGGCGCCGAUUUUUCCCGUGCGCAAAGACGGCACGUGGGCCAGCGCUGCAACAGCCACACGUCGAGGAGAUAGGCAGGAGCAGCAUCGAGCGUCCUGAGAGCAACUUCAAAAGCUCCUUAAAAUUGCCCCAAAACCUUAUUUAGGGGAAAGAAAAAAAAACUUACCUCCAACUCCUCAAUCUUUCCCGUAAAAAUACGCGGACGUAAAAAACACCUCCGUCGUCCCGCAUAUAUGCGUGAGUCUGGUCCUUCCCCAAUCGCCCCCGAACUGCUCGUCCUCGGAAUUUUCUGUAGCUCACGGCUACGGGCGGCCACGGGAACCGCAAUUCCCGGCAGUCCGGUCGCCAGAGCUCGUCGAAGGUGGUCAGUGGCGGAGCUGGGGAGGUCUAGGAGACGCGGGCACAAGGGAUGGGACAAAGAUGGCCGGAGCGCGGUGGAUUCGGCCAGCGCAGGAGCUCAGCUCGGUGGCAACAGUGGCGAACAGAAAAACUUGAAUCCCCAGCCAGUGAGUGGAUGACGAGCGACAGGAUGGGUCGAGGAAGAAGCUGGGGAGGUGCCGAAGCGUCGGAUGUGGGCGGUUUGAGGAAGGCGGCUGGUGGAAGGCGAAUCAAGUUGGUGACAGUGUGCGCUCGUUCUUGCUCAAACGGAAAGGAAAAUGGAGGAGGAGGAGAGCAGGGAGGUCGGGGGCACUGGUUACAGGAGCCGGGACGCAUGAACGUGGAUGGGAGCACGUCCAGGUACGAGCUUCGGCAGCGCUGGGUCGAUCUGCUCAUCGACUGAGCGACGAGGGCGGUCGCCGGACAUCGCCGGCCGCAUGGCGGUGUUGCUCUGAAGCAGGGUGAUGGGUGGAACUGAACUCAGUUCAGUGUUUUGGCUACGAAACUCACCAUUUCAACUCGAAUUUUCUCUAGAUUCUACACUCAACGUUGCAAUCAGCCAAAGUAAAAAUAUUGCUCUGAAGCGGGGUGAUGGGUGGAACUGAACUCAGUUCAGUGUUUUGGCUACGAAACUUACCAUUUCAACUCGAAUUUUCUCUAGAUUCUACACUCAACGUUGCAAUCAGCCAAAGUAAAAAAUGUAGCUGAAUCAUAGGGCUACAAGAUUGGUUGGUAAACGGUCUUGCAGCUUGGAGAUGGCCGCGACAGAGGGGUCCACGUGUUGACAUGACCAGUUUUAAAGUAUUGAGAAGUUUAUUAUUGGGGAUAUACUGUGGGAUGAUAUGAUUUUGGAGGAAUAAAUUUUUAGUAGAGCUUCCAAUAGAUAGUUUUAGGGGAUGAUUUUUUAGUAAACUCUUAGAAUUGCUCUGAGGGGCUCCAAAUCGUAGAGCGAUAUAGAUACUAAUAAUGUGUUGGCCUAUUUCUUGUCGCGCUAUUUUUUUGUUGUUGUUGUCGUCUUGUUGACCCGCUCGAAACAAGGUGCAAUAGCUUCCAGCGUCGUCCCUCCGUGCAUGACUUUGCCUUAUAUUUUUCUUCAAAGAUUUAUAGAAUUCGUGUCAAUUUUUAUAUUGAAAAUUCAAUUAAAGUAUGACAUAUUUUCUUUGGAUCUAGUAUUAUAACUAUUAAAUGGAGGAAAAAUUAUUUCUAUAGCACUCAAAGAUCGUCACUUCCGAAAAAUAUCAUUGAAACAUUGCUGUUACGUAAAAUAGCAUCUAAGAAUUUAUCUAUUCCAAAAAAUACCACUCUAUUACAGAUGGCAACACUAUAUUUGAACUUUACUCGAAUUGUUUAAGCAGACUCCUCGACUUCCACUUUGGUCUACGUGCCACCCACCUUGGAUCCAAGAAGUUUCUCCCGCCUCACCGCGGAAGUCUAAACCCGCACCCCAAGAUCACAUGCCUCGAGACAGCGAGGACUCGUUCCCGUGCUUUCGUUCCCUUGGACCUUUUCCUCCCUGAUGGCCUAGGAAUCCGGCCCGGAGACGCCCGGCCGGAGAGGGCCUGGAGACCACCGUGAGCUAACUCUCGGAGCCUACCGGGAAAGGGCUGCUGUUGGGGAAUCAACCAUGGGUCACGGGCCCAAGGGACCGUGCGAUCCGGGAGAACUCCGAAUGUACCGGGACCCCUCCGGACAUAGACAGAUGGGGCUCUCUCCCUCUCCCCCCUCUCUCCCUCUCCACUUGGAAGUCCUAGAUAGUAGGCAAGGGCGCAUAUCCGGGGAAGGUACGCGCAGGAUGCUGGAGGACUCCCGAGAGGGCCGAAGGUCCCCCGUCCUGGAAACGAUUGGCGAGAUGGACAGGACCCACCAUUAGCUUCUGCAAGGCCCAUAGGUUCGGUUGGGUCAGGUGUGCGUCAGCUCUAAGGACGGGUUUGUUGAAUCAACCCUACCUCCAGUACGGAAAGUCCCCGUACAAGGCCGCCAUAAUCGCCCUGAGUAUGGAAACCAUCCGUACCACGGAGAGCGAAGGUACAAGACCAGAGUGCCCCUGGGCACCAUGGAUGGAAGGGGCCGUACCGAAGGUAGAAGAGUCUUCUACCCGAAAAGGUUCGGUUUCCCAAGAUUAUAAAUGGGCGAGCCCUAGGCUCAUCUAAGACAUAAUAUUCUAGCCACUCAAGUCAUAGAAACUCUUUGGAUAAGUGCGGUGUUCUAGAGCCACCCUCUGCUAUUUGACAUUUUGUAAACCACCGACAAGAGCCUAAAAAGUCCCGCAACGUCUCCAAAGCUUCUUGUCUUAGUGUUCACUAUUUAGGCUUAAGGCCCAAAUAAAACAGACCCAACAAAAGAACCAACCAACGUUAGCAAAAAACAAGCACAACAUUUUUUAUGAAAUUAGUAGUGGAGGCCCCUAACUGUUCUUUUUUAUAUACAAGAAAAAGAUGUGACCCUCGAAAGACCCUAGCAAAAUGGAAGAUUAAAAAGUACUCAGCCCUGAUCUAACAAAACCUUUACUGAUGGUUUAGCCUUAAGCAAAACCAGAUAUAGCUCUUCCUUAAACGAAGCUCUUCACCUUCCGGAGGAAAGUGGACCAUUAUCAAAGAAAAGACUGUUUCUAUGACACCGAUGCAUCAGAAGAUCACCAUGACUAAUUUCCUGAAGGCAGUAGUGCUUCCAAAAGCUCUUCCAGCAGACAUGAUCAUGCCUAAGAAAGGCAAGGAGAGAUCCACGUUAUGUCCAAGAACCUCCAUAGUCCCAUAGAGUACACAGCUAUAGUCAUCGAGGUGCUUAGUUUUCUAGCGAAAGAAGUUGCAGGUGUUGAGCCAGCCGGCAGGGGCGCCAGAGCUAGCCCACGGAGCUACCGGUGCCAACUCAUCGAUGAACCAUUAAUAAUAUUUAUAAAAAAAUCAUUAAUAAUAAUUUUCUAAAAAUCUAUAUAUCUAAAAAGUCAAAACAACGUACAUUUUAAGACGGAGGGAGUACCAACUUUGCAAAAUAUUAUGGCAUCCAGUACCAAUAAAGAGGCUUAGCUCUGCCAUGAACUUAUAUUCCCUCCAUCCUAAAUUACUAUUCAUUUUAACUUUUCCAGAUACACAACGUUUGCACCUAGAUAGUAAAUACUAUAUUUAGAUGUAUAGUAAAAGUUAUGCAACUAGAAAAUCUAAAAUGAACAGAAAUACUUGCUACGACAAAGUAAUUGCCACGUGCACAUCCAUUUAAACAGAGAUGAACAAAUGUUGGUACCAAUGCAAAUCAACAAGCACAACAUUUGUCCGUGUAUACAGCGUAAUUAUAAGCAUGCAACAUAUACCCAACCUUUAAAUGCUGCACGGCGUAUUUUUAAACCGCCGUCGUCUAUCUGCUCGCGCACGGCACAUCGACCGCCCAUGUUGUCUAUCUACAGCCGCCAGCUUUUAUUAUGCCGCCACGUCUUUGUGGAAGUGUGGACCCGUGCCACGUCUUCGCGAGAGGUGUCGGGAGGGGCAUGGCUGCAUGGGACUGCCGAGUGCCAUGGCGCAUGGACUCGAGUCCCGAGGGCUAGUCCGGUCUACAGAUCUCUCUGGAUCACUUGCCACGAGCAUGAAAAUUGCACUAGCCAGUCUAUAUAAAAAUAGAAGAGUCCAGCAAGAUGAGUAGAAAUCGGCAUCUCCAUUCCGAGCUAGUACUAAUCAUGAUUGGCGAGUAUCUCAGAGAUCAUUUGUAUUUUGUAAUCGUAGUUCCAAACAAGCUAAGACGAGUGUAGUUUAACUUUAGAUUAAGUCAAAACGGUUUUGAUUAGGUUUGUGAAAACAGUAUCGAUAUUCUUGGUAGCAACUUUUAUUAUUGAAUAUAAGUGUUAUUAGGUUUACUAUGAAAUAUAAUUUUAUACUGUAUCAAUUUUCAGUAACGACCGUGAUACUUUUAAAUAUCUUUAAGUUUAAUCAAAUUUGCAUUGUCUAAUUUAAGAUAAAGCUAGAAUGAUAUCGUUUUUUUAAGGGAGGAAGUAUAUAUUGACCCACCGGCUACGGUAAGCUCCUAACUGCAGCGGCUGCACUAUCUCCACACGGUCCUGACCGGCGUGCAAGCAGCGUCCUGCUCUUGUUUGCCCUGCUCUGCUCUGCUCUGCUGCGCUCUCAUGGCGCCCACGCCUGCCCGCACCUUGGUUCCACCGCCACCGGUGCUGCCGUCGGCGAGGCCUUUUGCCCUCGUCCCCAAGAACAGUGGCCGGCGCCGCUUCGUCGCUGUGGCUGCUGCCAGCCCUCUGGUGGAGGAGGCUGCGCGGGCCACUGAAACGGAGCCGCUCACCAAGGAGGACCUCGUCGCGUACCUCGCCUCUGGCUGCAAGCCACGCAGCGACUGGAGGUGAUGAUCUGCUCGCAACUAGUUAGGCACGUAGCCAGCAAUCUCUCUAAGCUGUUUCCUAACCGUCGUUUCAGCACUAGUUUCUUUUUCCAGAUACUACUCCCUCCAUCCCAAAUUACUAUUCAUUUUGUUUUUUCUUGUUUAUCUGAUUUUUCUAGUUACAUGACUUUGGCUAUGCUUUUUUACUACGUAUCUAAACUUGCUAUCUAAAAGUUAUAAAUUUAGAAAAAGGCAAAACGAAUAGUUAUCUGUUUUUUCUUAUUUUUGUUUUUCUGAUUUUUCUAGUUACAUGAUUUUUGCUACUACGUAUCUAAACUUGCUAUCUAAAAAGUUAUAAAUUUAGAAAAAGUUGUUUUUUCUUGUUUAUCUGAUUUUUCUAGUUACAUGACUUUAACUGCGCUUUUUUACUACGUAUCUAAACUUGCUAUCUAAAAAGUUAUAAAUUUAGAAAAAGGCAAAACGAAUAGUUAUCUAUUUUUUCUUGUUUUUGUUUUUCUGAUUUUUCUAGUUACAUGAUUUUCUACGUAUCUAAACUUGCUAUCUAAAAAGUUAUAAAUUUAUAAAAAGGCAAAACGAAUAGUUAUCUGUUUUUUCUUAUUUUUGUUUUUCUGAUUUUUCUAGGGACAUGAUUUUUG